CGAAUCUGGAGUCAUUUGCAGAAGAUGGGGGUUUGCCUCCCAACCUCCGAUCUUUUAGCAUUUGGAAUUGUAAGAGACUGAGGGCUUCAUCAGUGGGAGAGUACUGGGGUUUGCAAGCACUUGACUCCCUUGAGAUCGAUGGAAGUGACCAUGUCUUGGAGACGUUGCUGUUCCCUGCCACUCUUCACACUCUCCGCAUCUCUGAUCUAUCAACUCUGAAAUCUUUGGACGGAAAGGGUCUUGGACACCUCACUUCUCUUCAAAAGCUAGAAAUUGACAGCUGUCCAAGUCUGGAAUUACUGCCAGGAGAGGAACUUCAACACCUCACUUCUCUUCAAACUCUAAUUAUUAGUUCGUGUGGCAGUCUCCAAUGCCUGCCAGAAGAGGAUUUGCCGUCAUCUCUUUCUCAUCUGAGUAUCUGGCGGUGUCCUCCCCUGGAGAAAAGGUAUAAGAAUAAGACGGGACAAGAUUGGGCAAAGAUAUCUCACAUUCCUUGCAUCAAGAUAGGAUACGAACUGAUCAUAUAAUAUGAGCUAUUCCAUAUUUCAUGCUCAACCCUCAACUCUCAAAUCAAAGUCAGGUGAGGUGUGUGCCUUCUCUUACUUUAAAAAACUGCUUCUCUUCUUCUAAUUGAAUACAAAAACCAAAACACAUAUUCUCUUUCUCUUCCAAAAACCCAAAUACAUGUUGGACAUUGCCCAAAUUUGAUCUCCAAAUUCCUAAUUAUUUCACGCUUUUUGUUAUUUUAUGGUUGCUGGUCACAAAUUAUAUCCUACUUGGAGUAUCAAAUGCUGAAUAAUUAGCAGUCUUUUUGCAGGACGACAUACCUUCUCUUGGCCCUUGGGGAGCUUUUCAAAAUUUGCAAGGUUUCUUUAUGUGGCAUUUCCAGAGGAGGGUCACAGGGCGGAGAAACAGAAAAGGUUUACCUGGAAUAUCUCAUACAUUCCUGCAUGUAGGCAUCAAAUGUACACCAUUUUUAGGUACUUUUAUAUGAAAAAAAUUGUAUUUGAGUCUCAUUUGCACUAGUUUAAAUCAAAUUUAAUGCCUAUGGAUAGUCUAUUAAUAGGUUCAUGCCAUGAAUUAAUCUUUGGACUUUCCCAGGUACUGCAGGUUUGUUAUUAAUGUUGUGGCUAGGUUGUCUUACGUUGAGGAGAGAGAUCGAUCAGCAAUUACAAAAUUGUUAGCGAAUUUAGUUUGUUUAUCAUCUCUCUCCUUUUGUUUGUUAAGUUUUGUUGUUCUAGGUUAAACCCUUGUCCCCGCAUUUCACAGCAACUCUGUGUUAUUCCACUCUGUUUAGAUUUCAUUUAUGUUGUGAUUCGACUGCUGCUGUAUUUUAGAUUUCGUUCAUGUAAUGUUAGGAUGUUUAAUCUCUGAUCUGUGGUGGUAGUUGAGUAGUUGAGUAGUCUAGUUAAUCCAGUAGAUAACUUGUCCCCUGUUUUGUAUUGUUUUUAUUUCUCUGGUAAUGAAAGCACGUUUCUUAUAAAUAAAUAAAAAAUAUUUCAUUGAUAUUCAUUGCUUAUUUUGAACUGCAGAAGCCUACUUUUGUCAGAGUCAGUAGAUGCCAGAAUGAAGUCAUUGCCUAAACACAUUGGCACCCUCACAGCCUUCGACAUUUUGGGAUAUAUGAUCUUCAAAAUCUUGUGUCAUUUGCCUCCCAACCUGCAAUAUUUUCAUAUUUUAAAUUGUGACAGACUGAGCCCUUUGGUGGGAGAUUACUGGGGUUUGCAAGGACUUGGUGGCAAUAUCUUGUAGACGUUUCUCAAGGAACAGCUGCUCAAUGCCACUCUUCGCACUCUAUAUAUUAUGGCCUGUCAGUCUAAAAUUCCUGCCAGGAGAGGAACUUGAACGCCUCUCUUCACUGCAAAGGCUACAUAUUUGUGGGUGUGACAAUACCCAAUUCCUGCCAGAAGAGCGUUUGCUGCCAUCUCUUUCUUAUCUGUGCAUCGACCAUUGUUUUGCCAUGUAGAAAAGGUAUCUCACAUUCCUUGCGUCAAGAUAGGUGAAGAAGUGAUCAUAAGGUAUGAGCUCUCUCUCCCUCUCGCUCACAUACAAAGUACUUAAACACUCAAUCUGAUUUCUAUUAUUAUUUUGCUCAGUAAAUUUUGUUUAAAUUUGCUUUAUUUCUCAUUGCGCUUGUUCUGCUUAUCACAACUUAUAUCCUAUUUAAAUCUCAAAUGCUGAAUAAUUAGCAGGCUUUUCGCAGGACAACAUAUCUUCUCUUGGAGAGAUAUUCAUUUGCAAGGUUUCUUUAUGUGUCAUUUCCAGAGGAGGGUUUACUAUUUAAUAGAAAGGUUCACCUGGAAUAUCUCAACUGACACAUUCCCAAAUACAAGCAUUGAAUGCACAACAUUUUGAGGUACUAUUUUUGUAAUAAAAAUGUACUUGAGUCUCAUUUGAGCUAGUUUAAAUUGUAUUCAAUGUCUAUGGAUAACCUGUGAGCUUAAGUAGUAAGAUAAAACUCACAGUAUAUUAUUAGGGUUUAGGGUUCAACAGGUGAGCUUUAGUUGUACUUUCCUAGGUACUGCAUGUAUAUUAUCUUCGUAUCAACAGGUGGUCUUAUGUGGACGAGCGAGAACAUUGAGGAAUUACAAAAUCUUCUUAGCUUGUUUCAGCUCUGUUUGUCAUCCCUCACAUUUUCUUUGUUAAGCCUUGAUUUUUUAUUAGACAUAAGAAAAAAUGCUUUUAUAAGACAGGAGAUGAAUGCUUUUAUAUGUUGAUGUCAUAGUCAGUCUUCAACCACACUCUGUUUUUAGAAUUCAUUUAUGUUACAAGUGGAGUGCUGCUGUAUUUUAUAUUUCGUUCCUGUAAUGUUUGGAUGUUUAGCUUGAGUAGUCUAGCUUAUCCAGUAGAUAACUUGUCCCCUGUUUUGUAAUGUUUUUGUUUCCUCUAAUGAAAGCAGGUUUUACUUAUCUUGAAUUGCAGAAGCCUACUUUUUGACAUAGGUGGCAUGGCACAAACUCGCAUCCGCAUUUCCUUCCCCAUUGGCAUGCUGUCUCAUCUUUUCUAUUCUGUUACCAGCUUGAAGCUUGUGUAGACAUGUUAUGCUCUUGUAAUUCUGAUCACAAACAUCACUUGACAAAUGGAAAGUCACAAUCAGAUCUUUCAGGUGAUCUGGAGGUUUACUUUCUAACAUUUGUUUUCGUGGGGGGGGGGGGGGAGGACAACAAUACAGAAUUUAAAAUUUCUGAUAAUCAAUAGUAGUUUGCAUAUAUCAGCUGGGACCUGUAUGACUGUAUUAUGUAAUUAAUUAUUCUCUUAUUGUUUUGGUACUGUUAAAAGGAGUUAGCCACACAAAAUAAAAAAGGAGGCCUCUUAUUUCAUACUAAUCGUCUGGUCCAUCUGCUGCUUCACUCCCUAGUAGCUUCAUCUCCUGUCCUUUGCUUUAUUUCUGUUAUUUAUUUUGAUUUCAUGUCCAUUGCUUCAUUUCUGUUUGGAUUCUUAAUUAAAUCUGUCCUGGACUUGAACAAGGGUUAGGUUAGCUGUAUAAUUUGCGGUUUUAUAUACACAACUGUCUACAUUGAUUAAAACCAGCAUUAUUCUAAGGUUCAUUUAGAAUGUAUUAUCACCAAAAUUAUAAAGUAUACUUCUAUUACAAUUAAUUUGUUGAUUCUAAUUUGGACUUGUAGGAACAGACCAAACAUGUUCAUAUGUGGCAUUGCUCAAGUCAUCAUCAUUCGGGACAGAGAAUAAGCCUUCAAAUGUCUGCUGAGUCAAUGAACCUUUCUAGAUAUCUCAAGUGUAAUGGAAAUUGAUGAGUUACAAAGGAUUUGUAAACAUUUUCUACUGGAGGCUAGAAAUGCUUCAAAUAAAUGACUGUGUUGCAAUUAUUUUGUAGGAUCAAAGACUCUGCAAAGAGGUAAGAAAGUCAUCAUCAAAUAACUUUGCUCUUCAAACUUUUUAUUUUUAUUUUUAAAUAUCAGUAAUAACUGGGAAAGCUUGCAUCUCCUUAAAUUGCUCAUUCUUACAUCUUUUAUAGUUUGUUGAUCUUGGGCAAGUGGAGAGAGAGGCGUCAAGUGAUACACAACAACCAUUUUCUGUGAGCUGAUUUGAUAAAGAGAAAUGGUAUGCUUUCUUGUCUUAAGCGGUGUGUUCUGCAAUUAUUUGAAACAAAGGAUGCCGCACUUCAAGUUCGAGAAAAUCAGGUAUUUUAGUAUUUUAUUCUUGAGAAAUUUGAUUUAUGUAGAAACUUGAACAUGUAAAUGAGAGAAAUAUAUAUAUAUAUAUAUUAUAUAUUGUAUAUGCUGUUAAUGAGUUAAUAUGGUGCUUGCUCCUAGUUGGAAAUUUAUGUAGUCAUCUACCUAUGAUCAAAUAAAGAUGAAAAAUAAAAUAAAAUUGAGAGCAUCUUCCUCUCCCCUGCUUUGCUCAUCCCUUGUUCUUCCACUUCAGCCCCACUAUUACACCAUUUUUUCAGCCACAAUUAUAAUAGCUCCAUGAGCAUAUUAACAUCAGUGGCCACAGUUCCAUGAUUUGAGUGCACAGAAAGGUUUCAAAAAUUGUCCCAAAAGUACAGUCGUUCAAAGUGAAAGAGAGUUUUCAAAGCUUAAUUACAAGUUCAUGUUAUUUACAAUAGCAAAAAGCUUUCAUUCUUGCUUACAAACUUGUAUUUCCAAGUUCUGUAAACCUUGGAAUUUCACUUCAUCCAAAUCCCCUUCCAAAGCAGGAAAAAAUGGCAGCAGCUUUGAUUGGAGAGGCUCUCAUCUCUGCUUCUAUCGAGGUGUUGUGUGACAGAGUUACUUCAGCCGAGUUCAUAGACUUAUUUCAGCAGAAGAACUUGAUGAAACACUCCUCAUGAACCUGAAGACAACACUGUUGAUUUUGUUUGCGGUGCUCAAUGAUGCAGAGGAGAAGCAAAUUGUGAACCCUGCUGUGAGAGAGUGGCUUAACAGCUCAAGCAUGCUGUCUUUGAUGCAGAGGACUUAUUUGAUGAGAUUGACACUGAAGCUUUGCGAUGCAAGCUGGAAGGUGAGGAUCAAACCCACAAUAGUUAACCAACAAGGAUCUUUUUGAUUGUUUGAAAGAAGAGUCUUUGAUGAUUUGAAAGGAGAGGGUUGCUUUAUUUCUGUUGGAUGCGUAAUUAAAUCUUAUUUGGAGUUGAACAAGGAUUAGAUUAGCUGUAUAAUUAGUGGUAAACGCCUUUUUCUAAGGGUCAUUUAGACUCCUAUUACGAUUAAUUUGUUGUUUCUAAUUUGGACUUAUAGGAACAGACCAAAUAUGUUCACACGUGGCAUCGCUCAAGUCAUCAUCAUUUCAGACUGAAAAUCAGCCUUCAAGUGUCUGUUGAGCCAAUAAACCUUUCUAGAUAUAUCAAGUGCAAUGGAAAUUCAUGAGUUACAUAGAGAUUUGUAAACAUUUUGAAGAUUGCAACACCUGCAAGUGAGAUAGGCGGUGACGAAAUCAGAGCUGAUUUUGAAGCCUCUGAUGCCCCUGUUGUUGCAAGUUGCACCUGAGAACAUGUUUUUUUUUUCUUUGGGGUAAAAAAACUGGCAACAUGUUCGGAGCUGACAAUUCAAUCCCUGAUGAACUAGAGAAGCGAAGCUCCGGUAAGGAAUUGGUCAAGGUUGUGACAGGGAUGAUUGAUGGUGAAAUGGAUGCUAUUUCUUAUUGCAGCCUGUUCUCAAAGUUCUUGUUGGCAAAUGCAAGAGAUGGAGUAUUUUGAUUGGGAGGAGAUAUAAUGACAUGGCUUGACAAUUCUAGAACAGCCCAUCAUUAAUCCCAGAAAAAAUCCAGUUUCUGCUAAACAAUCACUUAUGGCAAGGCCAACUCUGUAAAUGGAAUUUGUGAUCCCUUGAAAUUGUACACAUUUUUUCUUUUUGAGGAAUUUAAUCAAACAGUAUUCUAAUGUAUUAUGAUAGCACUACACGCUUUUGUUGUAACAAAUUACAAGGAGGAAUUUGGAUUGAGUUUCUUGUAUAAGCACACCUUACACAAAUUUGGUAUAUUUUCUUCCAGCAAGUCUGUUUAUUAACCCCCUUAUCUGAAAUUAAUUGUUAAAAGUUUUGAUUCAUCUUUAAUCAGUGUCUAACCCUUGUUGAAUAACACUCCUCUUUCUAAUUUAUAUUUGAAGUUUGAGGUUUCAAUUUCAAUUGUGGGCUUUGAUUUUACAGAUUUUGUUUGUCAAUUUCAGUUUGGACAAAGCAUAUGCAAACAAAAUAAGCAUUUUAUGUUAUACUUUUGAAAUAGGUGUUGAUUUGAUUUAAUCAUAAGUUUUGCUGGUGCAUUUACUAGGCUAUCAUUCAAUACUUUUGAUCAUAGAACUUCUUUGGUCGAUAUUAUCUUUGUUAAGUUUAACCAUAAAUUUAGAGAGGGGACUUCAACAGAUUUAUAAUCUCAUCAUUAUAGUAUUAAAAAUUAGAGAUUAAGGCAUUGUCUAUUAUCUGAAUUCUGCUUACUUUUAGUUCAUAUGUUUACAUCUUAGCAUAUUCAUGCGAUUAGUGCGGCUCAUACCACAAAGGCAACUUUAGGCUCAUCAAGUGCUAAGCAAUGUCAAGCUUCCAAGUGACAAGUUCUCUACAUAGUUUGAGACCUACACUUACUAGAUAUUAGAUCAUUUCGAUCAUUUCCAUAUGUUUAUAUGUAAUUGACAUGUUAUAACAAUUUUUGUAGCGUUAUAUAAUUAUUUAGCAAUUUAAUUAUUUCUUUGCAUCAAGAAAUAGUUCUUAAGUUAUUAAAAAAAAAAAAAAAGAUUUAAAAAAAAAGAUUUGUUGAUGCUUAAAAAGCAUCAAGAACAGGUAGUUUCUUGACGGUUUAGUGACGUUUCAUAACUGUAGGAGGCUUUUUCUUCCGACAGCUGUAAAUGGGCUGGGUUGCCGUAAAGGGCAGACUGAUGAAAUUGUCCCCUUUUGUCUGAGCUAGAAAAUUAAGCCCCAAAAUACUUCGAAAGGGCAGCAGAGCCUUAGGAAGUAUUUUGGUUACCCUCACCAACUAAAACAACAACAACUUACAGGUAAUUUCUUAAUGCUUACAGAUGAACUCUUGAGCUUGGCAUGAGAGACAUGUGGCAUGGAAGCAAAAUCAACAUGAGUUUAGCACUGAGGGGAAAUUUAGGCUCUCUUGGGGGAAAAAGGGAAGUGUUAAGGUGAGAGAGGAGAAGUUUGUAGGAGAUUUAGCUAAGAAAGGAGAAAUAUAGAACAAUGCUCUUCUGGCAGCUUGACAGAUGCUCUGUCUGCCAGAAAAGGAAGAUGGAGAAGAAAUGUGAAUAGUGCACGAGUUUGCUAGAUUUUUGCAGGUAAGAGAGGAAGCUUGCUCUCUGGGUCUGAGUUGAGUUUUGUUAGGUGGAAGAGACCUCAUUUUAUAGCUCCUGGAAACCAUCACUUCCCAAGAAACCCUAAUGGCUUCUACCCAUUUUGGCCAAGCUUUUCCAUUCCUUUCUCAUUUCCUUCCUUGACUUUACCCCUCUUGAUGAAAUCCUCUCUACCUAUUUGCACCAGAUCAGAGUUUUUUGAAGCUUAAGGCCCCCUUUUCCCGCAGUUGUCUCAAUGGGAGACUUUCAUUCCUAGUCAUUUCCUUUAUUGCUUUCCUUUCUUUUUUUCAUGGCCAAGUCUGGUGGGGAAAGGAGUUGGGAUAAAUAUGCUAGUUUGAAGGGUGCUUCUCUUCUUGGCAUCUUACACACUAAUACCCCUUGGUUCCUUGAAUGUUUUGGCUUUGAAACUUGCUCCCCUCCAUGUAUUGGAACCUCCCAGCAGCCCUGGUCAAUGAAUCUUCAGACCUUCUCUUCGUGGCUUUUAUUUUUUUAUCAACUGGCUAGGGCUUUUGUGGCUCAUUGGGGCAAUUGUAUGGGCUAAGGUGGUUCAUUAAGUAAGUGGGCUAUUUUUAUUAAACAUUGAGCUUUUUGGUUGAGUCACUAGGCUAUUUUGAUUGGGCUAUUGGGCUAUUGUUUCCUCUCUUGUGCUCACCCACAUGUUUGGACCAAAGAAAUGAGCUUGAGUCCUGAGGCUCCCAAGCGACCCGAGACUUUCCAUUUAUCGGUCCAUCAAUGGGCCUCAUGUUGAUUUAUUACCAUCCAUACCACACCCCACUCAAGCAAGCCCCGGGCAUUUGAGUGGCUUGGGCCCACUUAGGCUUGUAGUGUGGUUGGGUGCAAAAUAACGAUUUCGUGCUUGGCAUGUUUUAAUUUUAUCAUCCAUGGGAAAGGCUGCGAUGUUUGAUUUCGGCAUGGGCUUGUAGAGCUGGUAUGCUUUAUUUCAACUCCUAGCAUGACGAAUUAUUUAUUUAGCAUGGCACGUGAAUUACAACUCGCAUGUGGUGGGUUUUUGUGUACUACACCUUACGCCUCUUCUUAAUAGAACAUCGUUUCUGAUAAUUUAUUUGGGCCCAACCGUGAAUUUUUUGGAUCUCAAUAAUAACCAUCAUGAAACAUUACAUUUUGACUGACAUCAAGAAAUGGGGUAUCCCUUUCUUGAUAGUGGCAUCCAUGAUGCCUUCCAAGCCGUCAAUUAAGGGCUAUCGCGAUGCAUUUUAGUUGUCAGCAAAAGGUGUUUUUCUUGUACUAUAUUCACUCAAAAUCGUGUUUCAUUUAAGAUUAGUAGUAUGGUUGAAUACCAUUUGUUUUGUUAAAGAAUAUUAUACAUUAGGGAUUUUUGUAGAAAUGUCAUUUGAACUUAUACCUUAGUUUCAAUUUGUCACCUUGAAGAAAAAUUUAAGAGAAAUAUCACCUUAAUUUUUUAAAAUCCAUGAUUUGUCAUAUGACUUUAAGAUCAUCCAAUUUUCCAUCCAUUUUAAGGGUAUUUUAGACUUUUCAUUUUCAAGGAAAAAAAAGAGAUGAAAAAAGAGACCUCUCUCUUACUUUGUCCCCCAACCCAACCCCACCCGCCCCCAAAAACACAUCACAUAGGAUUGCCUCCCCCUUCCCCACUUUUCUUUUUUCUUUUUGUCAUACUUUUCCACUGUGUUUAUGUUGAAGGAUCUAAAGUUUGCUUGGUCACCAUCUUUUACGUAGGCUUCCUAAUUGUUGGUUUGGGUGGGUUGUGGGAAUUUGUGUGUGGAGGGCAAGGCUCUAUCUGACAGGACCCACCUCGAAUUCCUCGAAACCCGAGACGAAUCUUGUAGAAUUUCCGACAUCACACCGAUGCCGGGUCCACUUCUGAACUAAAUCCUCUUUUCCAAAAUUAAGGAAAAAUAGUACGAGGCUUUCUGCCAAAAUUUCGGCAGUCUUCCCUAUAAAUUUAACGUUUCAGCUUUGGAGGCCGUUCUUUCAUUUCUGCUUUGGUGGCCGGAUGAGAGAACGGCCGGCUAAAACGUGGCCAGCUGGCACUGCCGUCACGAGAGAGAGAGAGAGAGAGAGAGAGAGAGAGAGAGAGAGAGAGAGAGAGAGAGAGAGAGAGAGAGAGAGAGAGAUGUUUAUCAAACCAUUUUUGCCAAAAUUACGAUUAUGCAACUGAGGGUAUUUUGAUCGUAUCUUUUUCGUUAUAACUCCGAUUCAAGCCCACUACAUAUCUACGGACUCAUCUCGCCGUGCUCUAUGCAAUUGUAUAGUUGAAAUUCCCAAAUUCCAUCCCAGUCAAAAAGUCAACUUUAAACCUUAUAAAAUAUUCUAAGGGCAAAAUGGUCUUUUAUCUAAUUAAAUUAAUAAUUGAAAAUUUAUUUAGGACCGGGUCGUUACACUGUCGUUGAUGGACUGUGCGAUGGCACUCACACAAAGUCCUUAAGAAUAAAACACACACACACCAUGAAGAGAGUAAAACAAAUGCACAAAGAUUUAUAAAGGUUUGGCCUCCUGCCUACAUCCUCUUGGUGAUCCACCCGAGAAAUUCACUUGUACGUAAGAACAACUUUGGUUACAACUAAACCCCCUUAGCUUUCAUAAGAACCCUAGAUCUCUUUUCUCCCACCCUUGCUCCAACCCUUUGAUGCCCUUGUAAACACUCAAGAAUUCAUCCUUGAAUUCUAUCAUGUGUUACAUCUUCUCUUCUCCCCUUUGCCAACCUAACCCUACAAGUUAUAUUUAAAAUUCAUUGGACUUUAAGUACAAGUUAACUAGGAAUAGGAAACAUAAAAGACCCCAAAAAUUGGAGAAAAUAUGUCUAGAUCUCAUUAGGAAAUUGCACAACACGUGCGAUCCUCUCGAGCGCCUGCAAAAUCAUCCCUUUGCCGCUCGAGCUGCCGAUAGCUCAUGGGAUGGGGGAAUUAGAAAUUUUUUUUUUUCAAUUUUAAUUGUUUAAAAGAUAUACAAUUUAUUAAUAAUAAUUUUUCCAUUUUUAAAAUACCCUUGAAAAUAGAAAGAUUAAAAUGCCCUUAAAAAUGGAUGGAAAAUUGGAUGGUGUUAAGGUCAGAUGACAAAUCAUGGAUUUUGAAAAAUUAAGGUAACGUUUCUCUUAAAUUUUUCUUUACAGUGACAAAUUGAAAUUGAGGUAUAAGUUCAAGUUACAUUUCUGCAAAAAUUCUUAUACAUUAUGAUAUUCUAACAAUAAUUGGCUAAAAUUGAUAUGUUCCCUCUUUUAUUUUCUUUUUCUCUUUUCCUUUUCAUUUUAUGAUCCAAUCCUUUUCAUAUAUUUUUGUUCAAGACUUUGUUUUAUAAUGCUCUAUUACUAAUUUGGUACAGGUCCCUAAAAUCUCGGAGCCGCCUUAGUACAUUCAUAACGUACAUGUUCAGAGUUCAAGAAUAAUGUAUAGAAUGUGAAAUUGACGAUGCCGGCCUUUAUGAGGCAACAUCUUUAUUUCUUUGGUUAUUCCAGUUUAGAAUAUUUGCACAAAUGAGAUGACUCCAAGCAUAAAGUCACAUUCGACCAAAAAGCAUAAAGUCACACACAAAAAGAACACGGACAAUUGCUAAGUUUAUCCUUGUACCCUUAUUUUAUUGAUCCGACCCAAUUGAAAAAUAAAAAAAGAUGAUAAAAAAUAUUGUUCACUGCUUUAAAAUCUAUGAGUAGAGUCCUCCAUUUGAAAUUUGGUCAUUAUACAAAAUUGGAAUGAAAAAAGAAAAUCCUAAAGCUAUAUUUGAUAUAUUUCAUUUUCAUUUUUUGCUGGGUGUUAGGGCUCGUCAAUGGGCCGGGCCUGGCUAGCCCGGCCCGAAUUUAAUGGGCUUGGGCCAGGCCGGCCCAGGCUUUAAAGAGGAGAGAGAAAAUAUCAGGUCGAGUUUUUUAAGAAAAUUCAAAGCCCAAGCCUGACCCAUGAGCCGGGCUUGAGAAAGCCCAUCGGGCCGGGCCGGGCCUAAACGGGCCCUACUUCAUUCAAAAAAAAUCAUUAACUUAAUCAUAAGGUCAUUUUAGUCCAAAUUUGAGAUUAAACUCACUUAAUUCUAAUAUUUUUACUUCAAACCAAAUUCAUAAAACACCCAAUAAAGUCACACAACUUGUAAGAUUUUCCACAAAAAUAAUAAAACCAAGUAUUAUUUUUGAGGUUAUUACAUAAUUAGAUCGUAAUACGUUUUAAAAAAUAAUUUUUAAAAAUAAUAUUAAUAAGUAUCAAAAAAAUAUUUUUUUAAAGGAUGGUAUGAAUAAAUAUGCAAAUAUUUGGUGAUGUGUUCAAGAAAAGGAUGAUUAUAUUUGGUGGUACGAUUAUGUUUCGUGAUACGAUUAUAUUUAGUGAUGUGAUAUGUUGUUCAUCUUAUAUAUAUAUAUAUAUAUAAUUGUUGAACUAAUAAUUGACACAAAUUAAUGUGUUAAUCAUCCAAUUAUAAACUAGGAGUGAAUAAAGAAAAGUAAAUGAAAUGAAACAAAUUAUAUGUGUGAUUUAAGUGAUAUAAUCCUAAACCUAAACUCUUAUUUAUACAUAAUUAUAUAUGUAUGCGGGCCUAACGGGCCGGACUUUUGUGGGCGUGUCGGGCCGGGCUUUCUUGGGCUUAAUCAGGCUGGACCUAUGGGUCAGGCCGGGCUUCAAACACCCCAACACGAGCCUAGCCUAGCCCGCCUUGGGCCGGGCCAUCUCAAAGCCCAUAACGAGCCGGAUCGGGCUUUUUUCGAUUGGCCGGGCGGGCCCCCUCGACCCAUGAGCCCGCGGGCCAAAUGAUGAGGCCUACUGGGUGUUCAAUUUUUCUUGUUUCUUGUUGAAAAGAAAAAUGAUAAUUAAUAAAAUCUGAUUUGGUGGUUGUGCUCGUCACAAAUCAAUGAAAUGACAGCAGUGAUUUUGCAAGACAGCAUACCUUCUCUUGGGGUGCUUUUCAUUUUGCAACAUUUCUUUACGUGUAAUUUCCAGAGGAGGGUUUAUCAUUGUAUAUAGCUCUUCGGGUGGUUUUUUCUGCAAAACAAAUGUCACAAGGAAGGAGGAGAAACGGAAAAGAUUUACUUGGAAUGUCUCAAGUCUCCUUUGAGAUAAAGGCAUCGAAUGCACAACAUUGUUUUUGUGCUAUUUCAUAAUUAAAGUGUGCUUCCCAAGUCUCCUUUGCGUUUUGUAACUUGUAAUGUUUGUUUUUUUGUUUCCCCUGUUUUGUCUUUUAUAAAAGAAAGAGGAAUGCUAGCAACCUUCUCUCUAAUCUUCUCUUUUGGACCUUCUCCCUUUUCUUUUUGACAAGUGUCAUUUUCCAUACACUUAAAACAAUGACAUUAAUGCAUCACACAAUUUAGUUUUUGUUUUCCAAGUUUACCAUUUUAAAAUGUAUUGGCUUUUAUAUUUCCUUCAAUUAUUCACAUUUUGUUAUAACUUGUUUAGCACAUUAUUUUUUUUAAUUUAAAAAAAGUCAUAUUUUUUAAAAAUAAAAAUAAAGUUUGUUUCAUGACAUUGUUAUCAUUUUUAUUUUGUUUUUAACAAAACACGCAUUCUCUUUGGAAAAAUUAAAAAUUAAAAAACAAUUCAGUUUUUAUUUUCUUAUUUAAUUUUUAACAAGCUAGUAAGAAAGUUAUAAAAAAAAAUUAGCUUGUUAUUAAAAAAAAAUUAAUACAUUUAAUAAGGGUAAAUUUGGAAAACAAAAACUAGUUUGUGUGAUGCAUUAAUGACAUUGUUUUUAGUUUAAGGAAAGUGACACUUGUCAUGAGAAGAAGGGAGAAGGUCCAAAAGAGAAGGUUAGAGAGAAGGUUGUUAGCACUCCCCAUAAAAGAAAUACAGGUCUGAACCACACGGAUCUACUUGCAUAAUAAUGGACCAAAUUUAUGAUUUUUAGAAAGAACCUUCUACUGGUGGAAUCUUGGGCUACUGUUGUGGCUCUCCUCUGUGUGCCUCCUUUUUAGAAUGGUAAAAUAUUCAAAAUACCAGAAAAUGUUCAUGAUUAAUGCAAAUAUUAAGAAUUGAAAUUAUUAAUUAAAUGAAGAUAAUAUGGUAAAUUCACACUUUUUCAUAUUAAAAAAAUUAAAAUUAAAAGAAAUAUCAGAUAAUUACUCUUAUUUUUAUGGAACACAGCUACCCAUUAUCUUUUUUAAUUAUAAAAUAAAUUUAAAUUAUAAAAAAAAAAUCCUCUCACAUGCACGGAAGCGCGUGCUCAGAGGCUAGUUAAAAAUAAUGAACUUUGCUUCUGAUGUCUAUACCAGACCCACUCAACCUGCUUUAUGAUUAUACAAAGAACAAACUCGUCCUUAGACUCAUUUGGUUAAACUUAGAAAAUAAUGAAACAAAAAUAUACACACCCACAAGUAACACAGCCAGGAUUGAAAACAACUGGACAAAGAAAGGCAUGUUAAAACAGAAUUUUCAACAACUCAUCACCAUUAGACAAGAAAAAGAAAAAUCAAUACAGAAACAGAAAGAACAGAGAAUAAAUGUGGUGGAAGAAAAACGUUGAAGCCAUUUGUGAAUCCAACAACACUACCACUCUGUUUCUCUCCUUUUGUUCAGGCGGAUCUGCAUAUAUCCUAAGGCGUAUUACGGAAACAACUUCUUGCCGUUAUACUUGAAUGUUGUGGAUGCUUCAACGUUGCCAUCUGGGUGGAGUGGAUUUGUCCAAUUCACCUUCACUAUGGUUAAUCAACUAGACAGACAUAAGUCAGAAACAAUAGGUAUAUAGGUCCAAAUUGUUGUUAUUUGAAAGGCUUCUAAAUUUUAACAUUUUGAUUUCUAAAUUUUGUUUUAAUAUUUCGGCCCACUUAGUUCUUCUCAAAAUAUGUCAUCAAUAUCGUUGAAAGGUUGAACUUAGUGAAUUAUUAUAGUGCAGUACGGUAAAAUAGGCACAUGAUAUAAUUUGUCCACAUGUUCUAAUAUAAGUGAAUAUUUAUUGAUAUUAUUUUCAAAAAUAAAAAAUAUCAACCAUUACAUCCUCCCAUAUUAUAAUACAUAUACAAAUUAUACCACAUUAUCAUACUCUAAUACCAUUUUAUAAUUUCUCGUACUUAGGAGGUAUAGAGCGAGUCAAUGACAUUACAUAAUAUAUAAUUGUUCAUAUAAUGGGGCAACUAACGUGAUCAACAAGUUGUGGUGAUUAAUUUAACAUAAUAAAAAACAUACCAUUUACUAUGUAACAAUUUGUUCUUUUAAAUUGGAUUGUCAUCACUUUAAUAUGUUAUGUUUCUUAUUCUAGUCUCCCAUGUUAAGUGCUUCAGCAUUGUUUGUGGUGUGUACACAAAUUUUCUUAUAAAAUGUUUUAAUGCUUCUCACAUGUAUAUCAGAUAUAGACAGUUGAUGUGACUUAGAAAUCAAAUUGUCAAUAAAGAAAAAAAAUAUAAUUGGUGAUCGAGGUCCAAUUUAAUAGAAAAUAGUCUUAAUUUGUAUAUUAAAGGUUUCAGAUUCGAAUCCUCACUGCAUUAUUGUUGUAUGCGUACACGAGAAAUUCUAUUUCCCAAUAAUUUAGAUUAUCACUUAUACUAAAAAAAAUAUAUAUAAUAAGUUUUACGAAUGCAAACAUAAAAUUACACCAAACAAUAAUGGAAUAGAAAGAUGGAAGUUUUUUUUUUUUCCUACAUCUAAAGUAUACUUUAUAUAUAUAUUUAUUAUGGGAGUUAUAACCGUUUAAUUUUCAGUUUUUAUUUUCUAUUUAUUGUGUUAAUUUUUAUGGUUUAAUAUGUAUGGAGAUUACAAGUAUUGGAUGUCUAUAAAGGGCCACUCCUCCUUCACAUCUGAAACAAACCACCAUCUCAUUUCUGUAUUUUCAUACUUUCAUAUAUUUUCUACUUUCCAGAUUAUUAUUUUUGGGCAACGGUUUUGUGACUUGGAGAUUUCUAUCCGAUUGUUAACAUGCUCAUAACGGACCUUGAGCUUGCGUAUUGGGGAUCGUAUCUUGGAGCCUUGUAGACCUUUAUUACGUGCAUGUAGGGAGGCUACAAAUGCUUUAGGUCAGCGUCUUUGACGUACUUUUGCUUUCUUUUUUUACUUAUUUCUUCGUUUCUUUAUUUUUACUUUACUUUUAAAUCUUUAUUUUAUGUAUUAUUUAUAUUUAAAAGUUUUGAAUAAGAGUUUUACAGAAAAGGAAAAACACAAUUUCAAAUAACACAAAUUUCUCGUUUUUUGUUCUUAAAAAAGAAGAAGCAUUGAUUGGGGAGUUAUGGUAAACUCAGUUUCAAUGGUUGCGAUGAGAGGCGGUGGCGGCGAGGAGAGGACGAAGGCUUUGCUGCCGACGGGGUGGUGUGGCUGGCUGCUUGGUCCUGGGUUCUCCUUUAAUUCUCUGUUUUCUUUUUUCAUUUUCUUUUUCUCUUAGAGUUAUUGAUGUUAAGUGAAUGGACAGAUGCCAAAAUAGGGACAGAAGAUGUGAACCCAAUUAUAUACAGCUGCUGCUAUAGCUGAUUACAUAAAGUAACAAAUUAAUUAAUGCUUGAGUGGAGGACAGGCUUGAGUGGAAGAAUUGAUUAAGGCUUGAGUGGAAGACAAACUUCAGUGGAGGAAAGUAUAGAUAAGGAAAGCAUGCCUCGUUUAACGGCUUUAUCUAAUAAAGAUUACUUGUUGGCACUUGGAGUUUCUUAGGAAUGCUGGUUUUGUUUCCUUGGUGGACUUGAAAGGUGGUGCCUUGGCUCGGACAUCUCCCAAGACAUACAACUGCUCAUUAGCUGAAUAUCUCGCUCUCUUUAAAGAGAUCGAAGCAAACACAAUUUGCAAUUUGUGUGAUUCAAGCAUGAAUAUCUGAUAUAGUAACUAUACCAUUUGUUGGUUUGAUAAGAAAAGUUUGGUUAGCGAGGAUGAAACCAUAAAGUUCCCAAAACACACAAAGAACACGGACAAUUGCUAAGUUUAUUCUUGAGUUCACACAUAUUUGCACAAAUGAGAUUAUUCCAAGCAUGAUUAUACCAUUUGUUGGUUUGAUGUGAAAAGUAUGGGCAACGAGGGGUAAAACCAUACAAACACACACGAAGAACGUGGACAAUACUAAAUUUAUCUUUACGUUAUUGAUCCGACCUAACUGUAAAAUAAAAAAGAUGAAAAUAUAUAAUGUUCAGUACUUAGAUCUAUGAGCACUUGCACAAAACAUCACUUUUGGUCUUUGGUAAAUUUUUAAAAUAAAUGAAUUUUUUACUUAUUUGUGAACUGAAAUGCCUCUAAAAAAAUAAUGAUAGUUCGAAGAAUUUGAUAGAAAUUAAAAAAUAUCCUCAAAUUACUUGGAAUUGAAGACCACAUAGGCAAAAACACGAAAUUGAAACCUCACUUUAAUGAUAAAAAUGGUAAACUACAAAGACAAAAAUGACGUCUUGCCUUAUAAAUAAUUGGAAUUUGCUGGUGAUAAUAGUCGAUAUCAUCUUUUGUCGGUCCGACCUAAAAAGAAGAAAAAGUUAAAAGCAUCUUGUACCAAUUUUUGCCAAUGUGGGCCCAAACAAUUUGAAGAAGUCCACCGGCAAUUUCUCAAAAGCUAUUGUGUGAGUGUGAAGCUAAACCAAUAUUAUUUUGCAUAUCCGACCCCACAUCCCCAUGUGAUGUGAGGCUACAGAGGUGUUUCCAAAACGAAAUAUGAUAUUUCAAAACGUAGCUAUGUAUAGAGUCAUUUGUAUUUGCUUUCACAAUAACAUUUGAUUUUAUAUUUAUACAUUCUGAUAUUUUAACAAAUAAAUUGACUAAAUUUGGCCAACAGGAUUUAGCCGAAUAGAAAAGUUCUUAUUUAUGGACUAGUAAUUUUAAAUUUAAAAUUUAGACUAUCGCAUGUAUUUAAAAAAAACUAAACAAUUGGCUUAAUUUGAUAUAUUUCCUUUUUUUCCUUUUUGCAUUUUAUGCUGGUUGCCGUUAUUAAGUUUUAUCCUUAUUUUUUGUUGAAAAGAAAAUUGAAAAAAAUAAUAAUAAUUCCUACAGCUAGCAACUUCUCCACCUACAAAAAAUAAUAUUUUUUGUUUUAUCCUCAUGUGAGGCUACAGAAAAUUUUUGAAAACGAAACUGGAUAUUUUAUCUCUAACGACAGCUUUCAUACUUCGUUUACCCUGUGUUUCCAAGUUGUGCUAGCUAUUUGCAAACCUUGGAAUAUUACUUCAUCCAAAUCCCUUGCAGAGAAAAGAAAGAUAUGGCUUUGAUCGGAGAGGCCCUCAUCUCUGCUACCAUCCAGACGUUGUGUGACAAAAUUGCUUCGCCUGAGUUCACCGACUUAUUUCGGCAGAAAAAGCUCGAUGAACAACUCCUCAACAAGCUGAAGACGACGCUGUUGACCUUGUCCGUAGUGCUUAAUGAUGCAGAGGAGAAGCAAAUUGAGGAACCUUUAGUGAGAGACUGGCUUGACAAUCUCAGACAUAAUGUCUUGGCUGCGGAGGACUUACUGGAUGAAAUCGACACUGAAGCUUUGCGAUGCAAACUGGAAGAAGGUGAAGGUCAAACCCACAAUUUAACCAAGAAGGUACGUGAUUUUUAUCAACGCAUGAAUGUUGAGAUGAAAGAUUUAUUAGAAAGAUUAGAACAAUUUGUACAAGAGAAAAGUGCUCUUGGUUUGAGAGAAGGUGCUGGGAGGAAGGUUUCACGAAGAACAACAACUUCCUUGGUUCAUGAACCUUGUGUCUAUGGUAGAGAUGAAGUCAAAGAAAAUCUGUUGCCAAUUUUGUUAUCUGAUGAUGCAAGUAAGGAUGAUGUGUCUGUCCUCACCAUUGUUGGAAUGGGUGGGAUUGGCAAGACAACCCUUGCCCGACUGCUUUAUAAUGACGAUGAGGUGAAAGAACAUUUUCCACUUCACGCUUGGGUUUGUGUUACGGAAGACUAUGAUUCUAAUAGGAUAACUAAAACUCUUCUAGAGUCAGUCACCUCAAAGUCUUCUAAUAUGACAGAUCUAAAUUUACUUCAAGUUGAACUAAAAGAACAACUCAAGGGAAAGAAAUUCUUAUUUGUUUUGGAUGACCUAUGGAAUGAGAAAUAUGGUGAUUGGAAACGCCUCCAAACUCCUUUUACUUCUGGGGCAAGGGGAAGUAAAGUCAUUGUAACAACACGGAGCCAACAUGUAGUAUCUGUCCUGCAAAGUGUUCAUGUUCAUCACUUGGAACCCUUGUCGCACGAAGAUUGCUGGUUCUUACUUGCAAAACAUGCAUUUGGAAAUGAAAAUUGCAGUGAUCCAAACUUGGAAGAAAUUGGCAAGAAAAUUGCACACAAGUUCAAUGGGUUGCCUUUAGCUGCAGAAACACUUGGGGGUUUGUUACGUUGCAAUAUAGAUUCAGAGGAAUGGAAUACAAUACUAAAUAGCAGUAUUUGGGAGCUACCCUAUGAUAAAUGUGACAUUCUUCCGGCUCUUGGGUUGAGUUACCAUUAUCUCUCCUCCCAGUUAAAACGAUGCUUUGUUUAUUGUUCAAUUUUUCCAAAGGAUUAUGAGUUUAAAAAGGAAGAUAUAGUUCAAUUUUGGAUGGCAGAAGGUUUAAUUCCAAAAGCUGAGAAUGGAAAGAGCAUAGAAGCGGUAGCUAGAAAAUACUUUGAUGAGCUGUUGGCACGAUCGCUAUUUCAAAAGUCAAGCAAAUCCGGUUUCACAAUGCAUGAUCUCAUUAAUGACUUGGCCAUGUUCAUGUGUAAGGCAUUUUGCCUUAGGUUGGAAGGGGGGGAAUCACAUGUCGUAGAAAAAGUUCGGCAUUUUUCAUAUGCUAUGGAAAGAUUUGAUGCAGCUCCAAAAUUUGAGCCAUUACAUAGGGCUAAGUUUAUGCGGACCUUUCUACCCAUAUCAUUAAAUUUUGUUUCCACUUCUUAUGUAACUAAAAAGGUUCUACAAGAUUUGUUGCCGUCACUAAGAUGUUUACGGGUGUUAUCAUUGUCACAUUAUCAAAAUGUUACUGUGUUACCUGAUUCUAUUGCAAACCUCAUUCACUUGCGCUACUUGGAUCUUUCCGGUACCGCAAUUGAAAGGUUACCUGGGGUACUUUGCAAUCUCUACAACUUGCAGACAUUACUAUUGUCAAAAUGUUUCUCACUCCUUGAAUUGCCUGCAGACAUUAGAAAAUUGACUAAUUUACAGAAAUUGACAUUGCUCGGUUGUAGUUCUCUUAAUAAAUUGCCUGCAGGCAUGAAGGAGUUGACUAAUUUGCAUCAUCUUGAUGUCAGUGGAACUAAAAUUGAAGAGAUGCCGGUGCAAAUGGGUAGAUUGAAAAGUUUGAGAACAUUGACUGCAUUUGUUGUGGGCAAAUCUACUGGGUUAGGCAUAAGAGAACUGAGGCAGUUCCCGCAACUUCGAGGAAAACUAUCAAUUUUGAAGCUACAAAAUGUAGUUGAUGCGAGGGAUGCACUGCACGCCAAUAUGAAGCACAAGAAAGAUCUCAAGGAGUUAAAGUUUUCAUGGGGUGCGGAGGAUGCUGAUGAUUCCCAAAAGGAGAAAGAUGUACUCGACAAGCUCCAGCCUUGCGUGAAUUUGGAGAAAUUAUCCAUCAAAUUCUAUGGUGGAACCAAUUUUCCGAAUUGGUUAGGAGACUCGUCUUUUUCUAACAUACAAGUCAUGCAUCUCAGUGACUGUAGUUAUUGUUGGUUGCUCCCACCAGUUGGACGGCUACCGGCACUCAAAGAGCUCUGUAUAAAAAGAAUGAAGUCUUUGAGGACGAUUGGCGUUGAAUUCUAUGGCAGAAAUGGAGCUUAUCUGACUCAGCCAUUUCGAUCUCUGGAGAAGCUAGAGUUUAGGGGGAUGCCGGAGUGGGAGGAAUGGGUACCAAGUGGAAGUGCAAGUGGAGGUGAAUAUGGUCCAGACUUUCCUCGUCUCCAAAAGCUGAUUCUAAACGAGUGUCCGAAGCUAAGAGGAAGUUUGCCUUGUGAGUUGCCUUGCUUGAAGAAGCUUACGGUGUAUGGGUGUAAGGUUUUACAUGAUGGAAGGACCGCUACCGCAACUACCAAUAGUGUUAACUAUAAAUCUCUGGAAGAAUUGGAUAUAAGUGGUGGAUGCCAAACUCUGUUAUCAUUAUUAGAGACAAAGCUCCUGUCCCGACUUCGGAUUCGAAAUGUUGUUGACAUACAGUGCUUGCCCAACUGCAAUCGUCUUCAACGUUUGACUCUUUGCCUAACGCUGUCAUCGUUUCCCAAAGAUGGCCUACCCACUACAUUGACAUCACUUUAUAUAAACAAUUGUAGGAAAUUAGAAUUCCUACCUCAUGAGAUGUUGGCCAAAUUAACAUCGCUUGACUAUUUGUGCGUACAAAAUAGCUGUGAUUCAAUGAGGUCCUUCCCGUUGGGCAUUUUUCCCAAAUUGACGACGCUUCAAAUUCGUGGUUGUGAGAAUCUGGAAUCUUUUUCCUUGAUUGAAGAAGAAGGAGCUGUUGACAAUCUCAGCCAUCUCAAUUCCUUGCGUGUCUAUAACUGUCCAAAAAUGGUGUGUUUUCACGAGGGAGAAUUGCCCACUCCCAACCUGAGUCACUUUGUAGUCAUUGGUUGCGAGAAUUUGAAGUCAUUGCCCGAACGCCUUCACACCCUCACUGCCCUUCGAUCUUUGAAUAUAUGGAAUCUUCCGAAUCUGGAGUCAUUUGCAGAAGAUGGGGGUUUGCCUCCCAACCUCCGAUCUUUUAUCAUUAGGAAUUGUAAGAGACUGAGGGCACUUGACUCAGUGGGUUUGCAAGCACUUGUCUACCUUCAGAUCGAUGGAAGUGACCAUGUCUUGGAGACGUUGCUGCUCCCUACCACUCUUCACACUCUCUGCAUCUCUGAUCUAUCAACUCUGAAAUCUUUGGACGGAAAGGGUCUUGGACACCUCACUUCUCUUCAAACUCUAAAAAUUUACAGCUGUCCAAGUCUUCAAUGCCUGCCAGAAGAGGGUUUGCCGCCAUCUCUUUCUCAUCUGAGUAUCCGCUGUUGUCCUACCCUGGAGGAAAGGUAUAAGAAUAAAACGGGACAAGAUUGGGCAAAGAUAUCUCACAUUCCUUGCAUCGAGAUAGGGGAAGAAGUGAUCAUAUAAUAUGAGCUAUUCCAUAUUUCACGCUCAACCCUCAACUCUCAAAUCAAAGUCAGGUGAGGUAUGUGCCUUCUCUUACUUUAAAAAACUGCUUCUCUUCUUCUAAUUGAAUACAAAAACCAAAACACAUAUUCUCUUUCUCUUCCAAAAACCCAAAUACAUGUUGGACAUUGCCCAAAUUUGUCUCCAAAUUCCUAGUUUAAAUCAAAUUUAAUGCCUAUGGAUAGUUUGUUAAUAGGUUCAUGCCAUGAAUUAAUCUUUGGACUUUCCCAGGUACUGCAGGUUUGUUAUUAAUGUUGUGGCCUGAUAUUCGUCGUAUCAAUACGUUGAGGAGAGAGAUCGAUCAGCAAUUACAAAAUUGUUAGUGAAUUUAGCUUGUUUAUCAUCUCUCUCCUUUUGUUUGUUAAGUUUUGUUGUUCUAGGUUAAACCCUUGUCCCCGCAUUUCACAGCAACUCUGUGUUUUUCCACUCUGUUUAGAUUUCACUAGCAGGAGAGCCCGCGCGAUGCUGCGGGUUUUGAAAUUGUGUAGACAAAAUUAGAUUGUUUAUAUAUACAAUGAGAUUUAAUUUAUAACAUUAUGUUUAACUACAGGAGUGUAAGUUGCAAAAAAGUAUAUAAUAACAUAUUUUACAGGCUACUUGUUAUGGUAAAAUACUAUACUUGUUUGUAUAUACAUUGAGAUGUUUAUAGUAGGAAGUAGGCAUCAAAAUAGCAAAAGUUGGAUAGUUUUGUACAGAAUGUUAUUUAAUUGGGCAAGCUUUGUUUUGCACUUGCUUCAUGAUUUUUCUUCUCUUUCAUGGAAGUCUUGAUCCUGUUAUAAAAAAAAGUGAGAAAAUAGUAAAUGUUAAUAUUGAUGAAUGGGGGAAAUUGAGUUAGGACAAUAAUCAUAAACAUUUAAUUAUGUAUAAACAGGAAUAAUAUAAUUUAUUGAUUUAAUAAGAAAGUUAUAAAUAGUUUUUCAAUCUAGGAAAUACAAAGUUACAAAAUUAAGAGAACUAAUGAGCAAGUUGUAGAUGGUUUUCUAAUUGAAGUAAUACAAAGUAAACAUAUUUUAAAUUUUGUGUUUGUCUAAAAGAAAAGUUGAAGAGAGGCAAAAUAAUUAUGGUUGAAUAUAUGGAGAAAAGGAUGUCAAUAUAAUGUUUAGGUUUUUAUGUAUUAGGAAUAUAUGACUUUUUUGCUGUUAUUUAGAGCAAAAAUUAUUUAAGGGCUUGACAUUUCUGUUAAAAAACGGGUAGAAUCUACCCUGAAAAAUGGACAUUUUGCCAAAAAAUUCACCUGUAAACUAAUUAGUACUGAAUACCGAUUGGCGAAGGCAAGACAAUCAUAGUUGUGGAGUACAUAGUUAGAAAGAUGAAUGUGCAAACGUACAUCUAACCCCAUGAUAUACAUCUAACCCCAUGUGAACAUGAUUUAUUCUACAACAAUGAUUAUCAAUUUUCUAAUUGCUCAUUUUCCUAACCCUAAUCAUCACAAACCCAAAAUUAACUCUAAAAAUUUCAAAUAAGCAUGGUUCUAAACCAAUUUCUAACUUACUUAGCGAAGUCUUUUCUAUAAAUGAUAGUUGUUGAAGAAAAAGGGAAACGAAAAUAAGCUUUUAGUGUAUAAGUACAUUGAAGCAAAACAUGAAGAGAAUCCAAUAUAUAACUUCAAUAUAUAACUUUAAUUUUCUAUAAGUGUUGAUCUAAAUUUACAUCCCUUACCACUCUUCAAUUUAAAAAUAGUUUUAGCUACAACAAACAACUUCAGAGAGAAGAUUUGGCCCUGUUUUAUAAGGCAAAACCUCUCUAACCACAUGACAUACAUCUAACUCCAUGUGAACGUGAUUUAUUCUACAACAAUGAUUAUCAAUUUCCUAAUUGCUCAUUUCCCUAACCCUAAUCAUCACAAACCCAAAAUUAAUUCUAAAAAUUUCAAAUAAGCAUGGUACUAAACCAAUUUCCAACUUACUUAGUGAAGUCUUUUAUAUAAAUGAUAGUUGUUAAGGAAAAACGGAAACAAAAAUAAGCUUUUAGUGUAUAUGCACAGCACAGAAAUUGCAUGUAGCUUUCCGAUUUUUAUCCCAACUUCGUUUCUGUGGAAUCACAAAACUACAUACGCACAGCACAGGGAAGGGAAAAAAAAAAAAAGGCACAUUUAAGAGACACCUAUCUUCUCAUUCUACAUCACAUCCUCUUUUCCUAGCUUUCCAACCUUGCAACCAAAGCAAACAUCUUUCCUGAUAAAGGGUAGGAAAGAAAGUGGUUGUGUGAAUUGGGAUGAGAGAGACAGAGACAGAGACAGAGACAGAGAGACAAAGAGAGAGAGAGAAAAGAGAAAUCAAAGUAUAUAUAUAAAUAGUAAGUAUAGUUUAUAUCAUGCAAAGUUUUGAUGGUUUCGUUCAAAAAAAAAACAGGGAAAAAGUUUUGAUGGGUAAUUCUAGUAAUAAUGUUCUUAUAAUUCUAUAUAUAUAUAGAUAUCAAACUGUACUACCAUAUUCUUCCUAUAUAUACACUUGGUCGUCAACUACCUCUCUCUCUCUCUCUCUCUCUCUCUCUCUCUCUCUCUCUCUCUCUCUCUCUCUGUGACCUGCAUUUAUACAGAACCAAUUAUUCCAUCUUCACUAUACAUUUUCCUCAUCUUCCCAUUCAUAUUUUAUGGCUCUCUUGUUCUUCCUCCUAAUUCUUUUGGUCCCUGCAAGCAAUACUAAUUGGCCACCAUCACCUGGCUACUGGCCAAGUUCUAAAUUCAGGUCUAUGAGCUUUUAUAAAGGAUUUAAAACUCUCUGGGGUCCUCAGCAUCAAAGCUUAGACCAACAUGCAUUAACAAUCUGGGUUUAAUGAGGCCAGAAAAUUUUAAGAACUUAUCUACCAAGCAUACCAAACUGACAAAGCAAACCAUAUCUGUAUUUUAUCAUCAAUUUCAUCAAUUUUAUCACCAACAACAGAUAAAAAAAGGGAAUUUUUUCAAAAAAAAAAAAAAGGAAAAAACAUAAAUAAAAAAAGGGGCACAUUUAAGAGAGACCUAUCUUCUCAUUCUACAUCACAUCCUCUUUUCAUUUUGAAGCGGUCAUGUGUUGUGAGUUUCUUGUUUUAUAAAUUUUCAAAACUGUUGUUUAGAACUGCAAAAUUCUUCAUCAUAUAUCUUGCCUUCUAAUAUACAUUCUGUAUCAGGAAACUGGAAUGAGGCUUGCUCUUUGAGGAAGAGAAAUAAAAGAAAAAGUUGUGGCAAAGGUUCACGGAUGUAGUUGGAUUGUAGUGGGACAGAGAACAAAUUUAUUUGUUGCAGGGGAAAAGUCUCAUCCAAAUGCUAUGAAAUCAUGGCAACUUUAAAGUAUUGGACAGCAAUAAUGAAAGAAGAGGGCUAUGUUGGUGACACAGAUUCUUGCUUGCAUGAAUAAGAGGGAGAAAAGCCCCUAUGGUAUUGACUGUUGCCGCCAAGUGCAUAUUGUUAUUACUAUGCGUACUACAUCCCAAGGCCUCUCUCAGCAGGAUUACAAAGUAAACCAGAAUUACUAUCCCAGCAGUAUUCUGCAACUUUGCUCUGCACUUCCUUAUGUAAUCUCUCUCUCUCUCUCUCUCUCUCUCUCUCUCUAUAAAUAUAUAUAUACACACACACACACACACACACAUAUAUCUAGGCAUGCAUAUUUAUGAGUUCCCCAUUGAGGAGGGAUUCCCUUUUGAGGAUUUUAUAAUUAGAAUUAGACUGCCUUCUUAACCAAUAGUUGGGUUUGUGUGGUAAGGUAUGCUGGGUUUGUUGAUGUGGAUAUUUAUGCCUGGAGGUGCUUUGUUUUACUACUUCGUUGAAGUAGAAACAGACACUGACAAAGAAGCCCUUCAUUCUUUGUCUCAAUAGUGAUUGGUUUCUUUGAUCCUAUUCAUCAUAUCUGGUGGUGAGGUUGCCUAAUCAGCCAAAUGUUGGGUUCAACUACCUCUCUCUCUCUCUCUCUCUCUCUCUCUCUCUCUGUCUCUCUCUCUCUUUCUCUCUCUCUCUGUGACCUGCAUUUAUACAGAGCCAAUUAUUCCAUCUUCACUUUACAUUUUCCUCAUCUUCCCAUUCAUAUUUUAUGGCUUUCUUGCUCUUCCUCCUAAUUCUUUUGGUCCCUGCAAGCAAUACUAAUUGGCCACCAUCACCUGGCUACUGGCCAAGUUCUAAAUUGGCCAGAAAAUUUUAAGAACUUAUCUACCAAGCAUACCAAACUGACAAAGCAAACCAUAUCUGUAUUUUAUCAUCAAUUUUAUCGCCAACAACAGAUAAAAAAAGGGAAUUUUUUCAAAAAAAAAAAAAAAAAAGGAAAAAACAUGUUUAGUCUUUGCUUUCCAAUGUUUUAUCCAAAAACCUGAAAAUCAAAGUAACUAAAUAAAUGAACCCAAUCAUUCCUAAUUUCUAUUUUGUCAAAACCUAAUUAAGCUUCACUUCUUUUUUGCUUGUAUUUUAUCAUCAAUUUCAUCUAUUUUAUCACCAAUAGCAGAUAAAAAAAGGAAAUUUUUUCAAUUAAAAAAAAAAAAAACAUACUCAGUCUUUGCUUUCCAAUGUUUUAUCUAAAAACCUAAAAUCAAAGGAAUCAAAUAAAUAGGGUUUAGGGCUCAAGAACCUGAAAUCAAAAGAACCAAAAAAAUGAACACAACUCUACAUAGCACGAAAAAUCUCCCAGCCAACAAUCAAAUUCAUGAAAUAAAUACCAAAAGAUCUGUUAAAAAAUUGAUGAGAUGCAUACCUGAAAACAAAGGAUGCAACAAAGAUGGAAGCCUGAGUCGAAGCAAGAACGAUGGAAGCCUGAGUCGAAGCAAGAAAGAUGGAAGCCUGAGUCGAAGGUUGUAGAAAAGACGAAAUCUCCCGAUCCCAAAUCUGUGACACGAAGACUGAAAGCACGGCUGGAUUUGCAGCUCACCUCCCAAACAAAAAUCGACGGCCUUCAACGCAUCUCCAGCAACGAACACAACUCUUCCAUGGCUGCCCCCCAACCAGCUGGUUGGAAACGAACGGGAGAAAAUGGUUUCUCUCAGCGGACGAAACCAUCUCAACGAAGGGGGAGGGGCAAAAACGGGAACAAAAGAAACUGUUUAGUCAAGGGCAGUUUCGUCAUUUAACUGUGCUGCAGGAAAAAAAACGAAAACAGCAGAAAAAUGAGGGGCAUUUCCGUCAUUACACUGUGCUUAGCUACAGUGUUUAGUUGCAUUGGGUUUUAGUAUAUAUAUAAUUUAUGUUGUGAUUCGACUGCUGCUGUAUUUUAGAUUUAUAGGAACAGACCAAACAUGUUGAUUCUAUCACCAAAAUUAUAAAGUAUACUUCCAUUACAAUUAAUUUGUUGAUUCUAAUUUGGACUUGUAGGAACAGACCAAACAUGUUCAUACGUGGCAUUGCUCAAGUCAUCAUCAUUCGGGACAGAGAAUAAGCCUUCAAAUGUCUGCUGAGUCAAUGAACCUUUCUAGAUAUCUCAAGUGUAAUGGAAAUUGAUGAGUUACAAAGGAUUUGUAAACAUUUUCUACUGGAGGCUAGAAAUGCUUCAAAUAAAUGACUCUGUUGCAAUUAUUUUGUAGGAUCAAAGACUCUGCAAAGAGGUAAGAAAGUCAUCAUCAAGUAACUUCGCUCUUCAUACUUUUUAUUAGGGGUGGGCAUUGGAACCGCAAAACCGCAAAACCGAACCAACCCAAUCCGAAAAAAACCGAAAAAAACCGUGUUGACCGAAAAAGUCAAAAACCGAGACAAAUCCAAACCGAACCGGUUCAGACCGGUUCCGGUUCCGAUUUUCCACCUUAAGGAACCGGUCCAAUCCGAACCGGUCCAAUAUAAUUAAUUUUUAUAUUAUAUUUAUAUUUAUAUUUAAAAUAUCAAAUUUUGUAGGCCCAAACCCAACUAUUUCAUUAUACCAACAAAAAGCCCAAAUCUCCCAAGUCCAUUGCCCAAGUCCAACAAGCCAUAUUUUAAUAUCCUAAUCACAUCAAAUCUCACUUCACUCUCUCUCUCUGACGCACUCUCUCUUUUCCUCUCAGAUUUUUUUUACUCUCUUUUUCUUUCUUUCUUCUCUCUUCCGCCUCUUUUCCUCUAGGUUCUUUAACUUCUUUUUACUUCUUUCUUUCUUCACUCUUCUGCCUCUUUUCCUCAGUUUUUUCUUCUUCUUUCUCUCUUAUUCUUUCUCCUCUCAAUUCGUCUCCAUUUUUUUUCCCUCUCUUUCUCUGAUUUUCUGUUACUCUGAUUUUUUUCUUCUUGGUUUUAUGUUUCUCUCUCUCCCUCUAUAUCUCUUUCUUUGCAACUCUGUUUUUCAAUUUCUCCUUUUUUUUCUCUCUUCAUUUUUUGUUUCUCUGUACAUAUAUGUGUUCAUCUUGUAGAUCUGGGUGAAAUUCUUGUAGAUCUAGGUGAAGUUCUUGGAGAUCUGCGUUAAGUUCUUGUAGAUCUAGGUAAAGAGCCAAUUCAAAGCAGGUCAGCGUCUCUUAUCUCCCCAAUCCCUUGUGAAGAUAUGUAUUUUUUUUGUUGUCAACAAUCCAUUUUGGUGUUUUUAUAUGGUAUUGAUAUUUUCUAUGAUUUUGGGCUGAUUUGAGGUCUGAUUCUUUUUUUUUCUUUCAAUUUUUUCCUGUUGUGUUUUGAUAGACAUGUUCUCUAUUCCUGAUAUCAUUCCUCAGUGGCAAAAUCUUUGAGCGUUGUUGUAAAUUUUAGACGGGAAAGAAGCUCAUUCAUAAUUCAAAAAAAGAAAAUAAAGUUACAACAACUGACAAUUUGUUGCUCUUUGAAAUAGGUACUGAAGUAGCAUGGAUAAAAAGAAAGACUGAAGAUGUUGCAGAAGAUUGAAUAUGUUCUAUUUCUGUAAUUUGUUUGUAAUUAAAUUUGUUUAUUUUGUUUUGUUUUUAGGUUGUAAGUUUUAUUUUAAUGUUUGAUAUUUGUUGUUUUGUCAAAAAAUUGUAUUAAUGCUUGAUGGAUUCAUUCAAUUUGCAGUGCGUGGAUGUGAAUUGGGCCAAUCGGUAAUAAUUAGGCCCAAAAGGUUUUAAAUAUCAAUUGGGCUGAAACUUACAAAAAAAUUUAAGAACAAAAAAAAAAUCAAUUAAGCUGUGUGUCGGCCCAAACCGUAAAAACCGGAACCGAACCGGAUUCAAAUGGGUUCGGGUUGGUCCGGUUUUCUCAAGCAUUUUAGUAAAAAUCCGAACCGGACCGGACCGGUGAACAGUACCGGUUCCGGUUUUAAAUUGAUGCAAAAACCGGUCCAAACCGGACCGUGCCCACCCCUAUUUUUUAUUUUUAUUUUUAAAUAUCAGUAAUAACUGGGAAAGCUUGCAUCUCCUUAAAUUGCUCAUUCUUACAUCUUUUAUAGUUUGUUGAUCUUGGGCAAGUGGAGAGAGAGGCGUCAAGUGAUACGCAACAACCAUUUUCUGUGAGCUGAUUUGAUAAAGAGAAAUGGUAUGCUUUCUUGUCUUAAGCGGUGUGUUCUGCAAUUAUUUGAAACAAAGGAUGCCGCACUUCAAGUUCGAGAAAAUCAGGUAUUUUAGUAUUUUAUUCUUGAGAAAUUUGAUUUAUGUAGAAACUUGAACAUGUAAAUGAGAGAAAAAAAAAUAAAUAUAUAUAUAUAUUAUAUAUUGUAUAUGCUGUUAAUGAGUUAAUAUGGUGCUUGCUCCUAGUUGGAAAUUUAUGUAGUCAUCUACCUAUGAUCAAAUAAAGAUGAAAAAUAAAAUAAAAUUGAGAGCAUCUUCCUCUCCCCUGCUUUGCUCAUCCCUUGUUCUUCCACUUCAGCCCCACUAUUACACCAUUUUUUUCAGCCACAAUUAUAAUAGCUCCAUGAGCAUUAAGUCCCUUUCAAAUUCUGCUGACAUUCAAAAUUGGAAUCUGCUGGUGAUAUAUGAUAGCGUUAACAUAUUGUACCAUUUUGGCCAGUGUACGCAAUAUUAUUGCAUCCAACUUUGCAUAUUAACAUCAGUGGCCACAGUUACACGAUUUGAGUGCACAGAAAGGUUUCAAAAGUUGUCCCACAGAGAACAGUCGUUCAAAGUGAGAGAGUUUUGAAAGCUUAAUUACAAGUUCAUGUUGUUUACAACCUCAAAAAGCUUUCAUACUUGCUUACAAACCUGUAUUUCCAAGUUCUGCAAACCUUGGAAUAUCACUUCAUCCAAAUCCCCUUCCAAAGCAGGAAAAAAUGGCAGCAGCUUUGAUUGGAGAGGCUCUCAUCUCUGCUUCUAUCGAGGUGUUGUGUGACAGAGUUACUUCAGCCGAGUUCAUAGACUUAUUUCAGCAGAAGAAACUUGAUGAAACACUCCUCAUGAACCUGAAGACGACACUGUUGAUUUUGUUUGCGGCGCUCAAUGAUGCAGAGGAGAAGCAAAUUGUGAACCCUGCUGUGAUAGAGUGGCUUAACAGCUCAAGCAUGCUGUCUUUGAUGCAGAGGACUUACUUGAUGAGAUUGACACUGAAGCUUUGCGAUGCAAGCUGGAAGGUGAGGAUCAAACCCACAAUAAUUAACCAACAAGGAUCUUUUUGAUUGUUUGAAAGGAGGGUCUUUGAUGAUUUGAAAGGAGAGGGUUGCUUCAUUUCUGUUGGAUGCUUAAUUAAAUCUUAUCUGGACUUGAACAAGGAUUAGGUUAGCUGUAUAAUUCGUGGUAAACACCUUUUUCUAAGGUUCAUUUAGACUCCUAUUACGAUUAAUUUGUUGUUUCUAAUUUGGACUUGUAGGAACAGACCAAAUAUGUUCACACGUGGCAUCGUUCAAGUCAUCAUCAUUUCAGACAAAAUCAGCCUUCAAGUGUCUGCUGACUCAAUGAACCUUUCUAGAUAUAUCAAGUGCAAUGGAAAUUCAAGAGUUACAUAGAGAUUUGUAAACAUUUUGAAGAUUGCAACACCUGCAAGUGAGAUAGGUGGUGACGAAAUCAGAGCUGAUCUUGAAGCCUCUGAUGCCCCUGUCGUUGCAAGUUGCACCUGAGAACAUGGUUUUUUUUUGGGUAAAAAACCAGCAACAUGUUCGGGGCUGGCAAUUCAAUCCCUGAUGAACUUGAGAAGCAAAGCUCCAGUAAGGAAAUUGGUCGAGGUCACGACAGGGAUAAUUGAUGGUGAAAUGGAUGCUAUUUCUUAUUGCAGCCUGUUCUCAAAGUUCUUGUUGGCAAAAGCAAGAGAUGGAGUAUUUUGAUUGGGAGGAGAGAUAAUGACAUGUGUUGACAAUUCUAGAACAGCCCAUCUGAGUUCUUUUGUCAGGCUGCAUCAUUUAAUCCCAGCAAAAAUCCAGUUUUUGCUAAACAAUCAAAUUGUACACAUUUUUUCUUUUCGAGGAAUUUAACAUUACACAUUUUUUCAUUUUUUCAUCAAACAGUUUUCUAAUGCAUUUGUUGUCCCAAGUUACAAUGAGGAAUUUGGAUUGAGUUUCUUGUGUUAAUAACAUUAUACUUUCAUGGAAUGGUUUAUCUUCUUUUUCUGGACAAAAAUAUUUAGAUUAAUUUCUUGGAAUAAUUUUUUAAUAAUUUUUUAAUUGCAGUAGCGAAAAAAGGAAAAUUGUAUUUUUCAAAACCAAUCUUAAGUCCAGUUUCCUCUUCUUGGUCGUCACACUUGGAAAUUGCUAACCAUAUAUAACUUGGGGUAACAAUCUUAGUCCGAAUGUGUACGAUCUUAGUCCGAUCAAUGGCUACGCGUAUUGGCUCGGCCUUGGGGUCUACCAUUCCAGUGUACAAGCUUCCUGGGUCUUGGGGCAAUUCCUUCAAAUUGUACACAUGUUUUCUUUGAGAAGCAAGGCUCUAGUAAGGAAAUUGGUUAUGUAACAAAUUUUGGUCCCUUUGGAUGGAAUGAUUUACAAUGAGGAAUUUUAUUAUUAUUAUUUUGUUUUUGUUGUUAGUGUAAUGAAAAUGAUCUAGGUUCAUACACUGGGUAUAGCUCUAAUUUGGCCAAUUUCAUUAUUUUAGUUUCUUCAUAUUUUCAAUUAUUAUAAUUUGGUGCGUUGUUUUUUAAAAACAUUCAUGAGAAUCUCCAUUUUUUAGGUGUUUAAGUUAUUCAUCCACAACGGUUUUAUAAUACCGUCAUCUUUUCAAACACAACGAUGAUUUUUUAAUCUAUCGUCGUUGUUUUCUGAUCGUCUUUUUCACUUUUUGUAGUAGUGUCAAUAAGUAAGAUGAAAUAAUACAUUCACAAUCUGUUUAAAUUUUAAAUUAAAAAAAACACAAGAAAAUUUUAAAUAAGUAAGUAAUUUUAAAUAUAUAUUUCCAUUGUUUUGGUUUUCUUUUCAUAUUAGUUUUCUACUAGCUGCUAAUUUCAUUUAAAUUGUUUUUCUUACUUCAUUUAACUUUUAAGCAUGCAGAUGCAAUCAUGACUUCUUCUUUUUUUCAAUAGACUGAUUCUCUUCCCACAUAUAUAAUGCUCUCUAAGUAUUCGUAAUAUGAGUAGGAAUUUAUUUUCAUUUCACAAGAAUUGUCCAUCAAAUUCUGAUAGGUUUGUCGAUAGCACAAGCAUGCACAUAUAGACACUACAAGAACUUUGUUUCUUCAUUUUGUUUCCUAAAGAUUUGUUGGCUUCGUGCAGAUGAAUAACAAGUCUCUCUGUCCUCUAUUUCUUCUUUUUCUUUUUUAACAAUUCAUAUUCUACUUUCUGUUUUCACCCAGUAAAAAUUGAUUUUAGACAUGGGCUUCUAAAUUAUGUGCGGAUAAUGGUUGCAUUUAUAGAAUAUCCAUGGGCUUCUAGUCACCGUGGUUGUUGAUUCAGCAUGUCAUAUUACUCUUGGACUAGCUGUUGACACUACUACAUUUUACACUUUGCGCGACGAAGAACAAAACGUCGCGCAAAGUCGCAUUUAGUCGCCCCAAUUUCAGCGCGACAAAAACGUCGUCGCGCAUAUUCCGUCGCGCGAAGAUCGUGAAGAAAGCCUUUGCACGACGAGGUACAACCCUUCGUCGCGCAAAAGUGUGCGACGGGUAAACCAUCGUUGCACCAACGGUGUGGAGACGAAACAACCCUUCGUCGCAAAAAUAUUUGCGCGACGAUAAAUUAUGCGGCGCACGUAUAUUUGCGAGACGACGGGAAUUGCGCGACAAAACAUUAUUCGUCGCGCAAAAUAUGUAUGGGAGACGUAUAUGUUCGUCGCAGAACAAUUCGCGCGAUGAGAAAGUUUUCGUCGCACAUAUAAUUGCGCGACGAAAAAUUAUGUCGUCGGCCAAAUAUUUUGCGCGACGAAACAUUUCGUCGCGCAAAACGUGUUAUGUGUUCGUCGCGCAUGAAUUAAAAGUGAUAAAAAAAUAUUUGAUUUUUUUUUGUUACAUGUUGGUUUGCGCGACGAAAGAUUUUCCGUCGCGCAAAAAUAAUAUUACAAUUUUUUUUUUAUUUAUAUUUUUUAUUUGAUAUAAAAUUGGUUUCUUUUUAUUGAUUAAACAAUGAAAUUGCAAUAAAAAUAAAUUAGAAUAAAAUUUUGUUAUAAAAUAAAAUAAAAUAAAUGUAUUACAAAUAAAAUAAAUACACUAAUCAAAUAAUGAAUCAAAAUCAACCGAGUCGUCGCCAGUAUGCGGCUCGGAGGGCGGGGCGUUCACCGGGGCAGUGGUCUGGUGGGGAUGCCCGGGAUGGACGGGCUCAGAGGUCGGCGCAUCAAAAUGCGGGACUGGAAUGCCGGACUGUGCGAGGGACUGCAGAAUGACCGACAUCUGGCUCUGAAGAGUGGCCACCUGUGCUGUCAAAGCAGUGACCUGACUGUUUGACUGCGCCGAUGAACGAGGUCGAGGUUCCCUCCGCCGGGCAUUCCCCAUCCCUCGACAAUAUGUCCCCGGCCUCCUCCCGAGAGUCUGAUCCAACGUCUCCGUCAAUAUCUGAAAUCCAGCAUCCUGUGGAGGAGCCACAGACUCGAUCGGAGUCUCGGGAGGAAGCUGGGAGGCGGACUCCUGAAGAACAAGCUGGCUCCUCUCCACCAUCGUCGUCUGUUGAACAUAACAUAAAAUAUAAAUUAAAACAUGCAUAUAAAUUGAAUGCGUAACAUAAGAAUUAAAAUUAAAUAAUACUUACAUGAAGGGACUCGGCCAACUCAUUCCCGGGUCGAACAUAAACGUCACCAAAGACGUCGAUCUCUGGGAACUUGGACCCCUCCUAAAUUGAACAAGAGAAGAAAAAUAUUAGUAUGAAAAAAAUAAAUUAAUAAAAAUGACAUUAAAAAUGAAAUAAAAAUUUUGUGAUUAUUACCCGACGCCGUGCAUCCAUCCUAUAAGAAAAGGGUCUGGAGCCGGAAUGGUGGAGAAGGGUCUUCUUCUUCCUAUUACCCUUAUUCACUUGGGCUUUAUUCUGUUAUACAAAAAAUGAAACGUAUUAGUUAAAAUAUAAAAAAUUAAAUAAUAAUGAAAUAAAAAAAUAAAAUAAACAUUAAUAAGUAAUAAGUAAUAAUUAAACAAAUAUAAUUAAAAAAAUACCGCAAAUUCGGGCGCUUGAAAAUGAGCGCAGAGCCACUCCCAACUAUCCUCCCGCCCCUCAAGCUCCUUCGGGCAACCCUCCUGAAGAGCGACUUGCGGAUCAUCAUAGGCCUGAAAAUGGUGGUGCAAGUCGCUCUUCCACUGCUUGUACCUCUCAGCGAAGAGUCGGUUGACGUACGUCAACGACUCUUCGUCGAGAUCCUCCAAGUUAUAGUUCGUCUGCAAUCAAUUAAUUAGAUACGUUAAGUAAUAGAAAUAUACACAAUUUUAAAGAAAAAUAAUGAAAAUGUAAGGUACAUACCGACAACUGGCCGUGAAUCUCCGCCUGGAUCUCGUCAGGCAUGACCCUCCAAGACUUCCAUUGCAUCGGGCAAUGGGUCCGCACGACGUGGCCAAUGUCGUGGGCCAAGGAGCUAUGCAACUUCGCCGUCGGUGCAGCACGAUGGCGCUCGUCGUAUCCGAUGCUGAUACGACUGUUGGUCACCCGGGUGACCUUCGCCGUCUUCAGCUGACGACACGGUCCUCGGGUGUUCCUCUUCGCUGCAAAGAAAUAAGGUAUUAAUGUUAAAUAAAAAAACAUUGUCAAAUUUCAAUAUAAAAUUAACAAUACAAAAGUGUAGUUAUACCUGGCUGUGAUCCCGAGGCACCAGUACCGUCGGUCGAUGUCGUGUCGAUGGUGUCGGUGGGCCGGUGCCGCCGCCUAGCACUAGCUGGUUGCGCCACGGAUGACGCAGAUGACACAGGCGCCUGGGGCGCCCCGGGACCAACCACCACGUGGUCCAACAAAGCAGGAGCAGUGGCAGCAGAUGCCGACUGAGCCAGGGGAUCCGAACUCGGUGCAGUCGUCAUCGACCUACCACGUCUAAUCAAGUCUGACAUCUGCACAUAUAAUUUCAUUCAGAAUGUAAACUAAUUAAUUAAAAGCAUAGCCUGACCUAGGGUUUGGAAUUUCGGAGUAUCCGGGACUCCGAUCAACGAUCGGUCGAAUCCUAAACGAUCCUAGAAACACAAAGGUACAACUACGCGAGUUUCAGUUCGAUCCAACGGUCCGAACAUAUCAAACCUGGAAAUCGCACAAUAGGCGAAAUUCGAUCAAGACUCAAACGGUAACCAAAUUCAAAUCCGAGCAAACCUACGCGCUCGUGACAAACAGGGGAUCGCUCUGGGACACAAUGCCCCACUGCCACAGCAUCCCACGCGCCGGCAGCGCGUGGGUGUCCAAAGCGAUAACAUUCGCCGGAAAAUUCUAAAAACUAACGGCCAAGGUUCCUACCCUAGGUUGAAAACAAUAUUUGGCGCCACUUUUGUUCUCGGACCUACCCCGAAAAAUGGCCGGAAGUGGCCGGAUUUGAAAUUGCCAAACCGGCCAAAACCUAGGGUUUUAAUUCCUAUUUCCUAUACCCAUCAGCUAGAGCACAAAAAAUAGUCGAGAAAUCAUACCUCAGGCGUCGGAAAUGGUGGCCGGAGGAGAGAGAAAACGGCCGGCGAGGAAUCGGUGAAAAACCGACGAUGUGCGACGGCAGGCUCGACGGCGAAGGCAGGGGAGGCUAUGGCAGGAGCGGCGGUGGCUGAGGUGACGGCGGAGAGAGAGGGCUGAGGUGACGGCGGAGAGAGAGGCAAACGGAGGAAAAAACCAGAAAUGGGGAAGAAGGAGGCAUCGCGACGUUUCUGCAAAUUUUUACGACUUUGCGCGACGAAUCACAUCAUUCGUCGCGCAAAAUGCUAUUAAUGAAUCUUGCGCGACGCUAUAUCCGUCGCGCAAGAUCUGUCAGAACGCCAAAUUCUGAAAGUGGAUUAGGGUCUGUAAGUUUUGCGCGACGAAAUAGACAUACUUCGUCGCGCAAAAGGCUGUCUUUCCGCCAAAAUUUUGGGAUUUAGGGUUUAGCGGGAGGCUGAAACUGAAGGGUUUGCGCUUUUGCGCGACGAAGACGGUAAACGUCGCGCAAUGGUAACCUUGCGCGACGGAACGUAUUAUAUUCGUCGCGCAAAAGGCUAUCUUUCCGCCCAAAUUUUGGGAUUCAGGGUUUAGCGGGAGGCUGAAGGGUUUGCGCUUUUGCGCGACGAAGACACUAAACGUCGCACAAAAGGCUGUCUGCUGAAAUGAAUGGUUUCUGCUUUUGCGCGACGAAGACAAUAAACGUCGCGCAAAACGUUGUCGUUCCGCCAACAAUUUGGGGUUUAGGGUUUAGUGUGAAAACUGGCGCCCAGAUUGCGCGACGAAGAGUACAUAUUUCCUUCGCGCAAUCUAUUUCACUUUCACUUUGCGCGACGGAUAUGUUGGUUCGUCGCGCAAUCUUCAAGAUUUUCAUUGAAAUUUUCACUAAGUGUUCAAAGGGGAUGGAGGUGUGAAAACUGGCGCCCAGAUUGCGCGACGAAGAGUACAUAUUUCCGUCGCACAAUCUAAUUCACUUUCACUUUGCGCGACGGUUAAAUUGUUCGUCGCGCAAAAUGUAGACCCUAAACCCCCUUGUAAACCCUAAACCCUGAACCCUAAGCCAUAAACCCUAAACCCUAAAAUAGUUUCAAUGAUCCAACCGGCAAACUUAUUGUUUGAAACUUGGAGAUCAUAUACGCCAAAAAUCAAGAAGACCAAACAUUCAGAUAUCAGGGAACGGGACUAAAUAUUUCGACGGUUAUAAAUGAAAAGUCAUGAUUUAACGGUUAUUGUAACUCCGAUUUUGAUCAAUUUUGACAGCAGCAUUUGUUGACCCUAUAUGAAUACAAUGACUGAAUUUGAUCUUCAAUUUCAGAUUUUUACACUAGGGGAUACCACAUAAACGUGAAGUUACAUUUGCACAAAUGUAUAAACAAAUUUUAGGGUUUUUGGUGAAUAUAUGAUUUUGAUAGCACAUGCAGUCUACGAAACAAGUUUCAGUCAUCCAGCCGUCAAACUUGUUUUUUUAGACUUCGAGAUCAUAGACAGCAAAAAUCGGACAAAAAAAACAUUCAGAGAUUAAGCAACGGGGUAAAACUUUUCGACGGUUCUAAAUAAAAAGUGAUGAUUGAACGGUUAAUUUAACUCCGAUGUUGAUGAUUUUUUGCAGCUACAGUCCUACACUCCAUAUGAAUACAAUGAACUACUUCGAUCGCCAAUUUUAAAUAUAUAUGUGUGUAUAUAUUAUACUAUAACGUUACCUAAUAUAUAUUUGCGCGACGAAAGUUUGCUUAUCGUCGCGCAAAAAUGCCAUACGCGACGCAUGUAUAUAUGCGUCGCGGAAACUAUGCGCGACCAGUUGUAUUCGUUGCGCAAACAUUACGCGACGCUUAUGUAUGCGUCGCGUAUGGUAUGUUUGCGCGACGAUAUGGAGCCCUUCGUCGCGCAUGGAUUUGGCGCCAUAAAUCCUCAUUGAUUUCAAAUUGUGUAUGCUUUGUAUUUUUUAGAAAGGUUUUGUAUUCAUCAUUUUUUAUGCUUUGUAUUUUGUGGAAAGGCUUUGAAAUAUUCAUUUCUUUUGUUAUUUUUAUUGAAGCUUUAACUUGUUCUGUUCCGCAGAAAAUUCCAAUGAAGUUUGUGAUGAAAUAUGGAGAAUGAAUACACAACUACAUAUGGACAACUACACAUAUUCAAAGAUUUGUAUUACACAAAAUUAAUACACUAACAUAAUAAAUUUACAAAUAAAUUCAUUAUUCAUCAUCUGAACUAUAAUAACUUUCGUUAUCGUCGCUAGCUUUAACUUGUUCUGUUCCGCAGAAAAUUCCAAUGAAGUUUGUGAUGAAAUCUGGAGAAUGAAUACACAACUACAUAUAGACAACUACACAUAUUCAAAGAUUUGUAUUACACAAAAUUAAUACACUACAUAAUAAAUUACAAAUAAAUUCAUUAUUCAUCAUCUGAACUAUAAUAACUUUCGUAUCGUCGCUAUCAUCACUCUCGGUCUCCCAAUCUUCUUCCUCCUCCUCCUCUAUAACUGCAUCAUCGGCGUUGCUAGGGCCCACUGCAACAUCGUAUCGGGGAAGAUCACCGAGGUCAAUUGUAAUUGACUGAAUCGGUAUUUCGACUGAAGACACUCCUUCUAUUUGAAACGGUUCUUGUAUAACAUUUGUAUCUCGAAGUGUUUCCGCAUCAUUUUCCAUUGAAGAUUCUAAACGAUGGUCAGCCACAUUGUCGACGUCGUUGUCACUUGGGUCUAGUUCUGGUAUAUUAUACACGUUCCUAUGAUCCAUCUUCUGCACAACUUUCCACCCGUUCCCGGCUUUAGGGUCAUCUAGAUACACAAUUUGGGACGCCAUGUUUGCCAAAAUGUACGGGUCGUCAUCAUACCAAGUUCUGUUAAUAUUCACAGACAGUACUCCAUGGUCGAUUUUAACACUUCCCGCCCUAUUUGGGUUGGUAUCGAACCAUCGACACUUAAACAUGAUGACUUGGUAUCGAUCUUUGUAAAGCAAUUGCACGACAGUUGUCAGUUUGCCAUAGAAAUCAAUGUCUGUACUUUCGCCUCCACCUGGGACAUGAACACCGCUAUUUUGCGUACACAACUUGUCAUCUCGUGCGGCCCCUAAAAAUUUGACGCCGUUAACAUUACAACCCGAGAACAAUUCAGCGCGAAUUGGGCCGAACGCCAAGUUAUAUAACUCAUCACUGUAAGUGGGGGAAUUCGAUGAUUUCAAUUUAUUCACCUAAUAGUAUACAAAACCAUUUACAUGUUAGUCUGACAAAAUUAAAUACUAAAAUUUAUAUUUGUCAAUUACAAAACACUUAUAACUUACAGAAUCCAAAAACCAUUGUGGAAAUAAUUCACGGUGUUUCCGGGCAACCAAAUGUGAUGGAUGUUCUCGCUUCAUCAUCUGUUCAUGCUCAUCUAAGUAGGCCAUUAUCUCAUCACAAUUGUUCAGUACGAACCAAUGCGCUACCUCCAUGUCAUUUCUAGAAAACGACUCUCCUCGUCCAGGAUCUCCAAAUGGUCGUGCGCUUUGGGCAAAAACAGAAAGUUUUUCAUUUCUCAUACCUCCGUCAUUAUUGCGGUGAGGACGAUUGAAAACCGUCUCCACAUCUUUUAAAUACAUUCCACAGAAAGUAAGCGACUCAUAUUGAACCCAAGCCUCUAUAAUUGAUCCUUCGGGCUUUGCCCUGUUGCGUACACUUUUUUUCAGCUCUCCGAGAAGCCUGCCAAAAUAAAACGAUAUGAUACAAAUUAGCAAAGUGUCGAUAAUGAUGCAUACACAAAUGAUAAAGAUUAUAUACCUUUCUAUUGGAUACAUCCAGCGAUAGUUGACAGGACCAGCAAGCAAUGCCUCUUCUGGCAAGUGAACCAUCACGUGCAUCAUACUUAUAAAGAAAGCUGGAGGAAAUAUCAUCUCAAACUUGCAUAGGACUUGGACAAUGUCAUGGCGCAACUGAAACAUGUCUGUCCUUCGCAAUGUUUUUGCCGUCAGUUGGGAAAAAAAUCUGGAUAACAACAUGAUUGGCUUCACCACAUCUUCCGGCAGUAAGUGUCGAAUACCCACAGGAAGUAGGCGUUGCAUGAACACAUGGCAGUCAUGGCUCUUAAGUCCAGUAAAUUUACCCCCAUCGACAUUCACGCAACGUGCGAUAUUAGAAGCAUACCCAUCGGGAAAUUUGACAGACGAUACAAACUUUAGAAACUCCUUUUUGUCAUUCGGUUUCAUAGAAAAGAAUGCAAGAUCCCUUCUAGCUUUAUCACUGUCCCUAUUCAUCCAUAAACCCCUUCGUAUGCCCAUUCUUUCCAAAUCAAGACGAGCUUUGAUCGUGUCCUUCGUCUUCCCCUCGAUAUCUAGAAUCGUGCCCACCAAUGUGUCGAAAACAUUUUUCUCAACAUGCAUCACAUCUAGAUUGUGCCUCAAUUUCAGUUUCGACCAAUAUGGGCGCUCAAAAAACAUAGACUUGUGCGUCCAGUUCAAAUGUGUAGAAGGUCGGGUCCGACUAACUGUUUUCCCGAACGGAGCAAAAUCCAAACGGUUCAGCUGUUCCAAGAUCUCAUCACCGGACCAUUCUCUAGGUCUGAGGCGACGCUCUGUGUUCCCGUCGAACUCUUUAUCUUUUUCUCGCCACUCGUGGUCCCAUGGCAACCAUCUCCGAUGACCAAGGUAACAAACUUUUCCCGCGUGCCAACCAGAAGUUACAUCUUCCUUGCAUACAGGACAUGCCAUAUAACCCUUUGUGCUCCACCCAGAAACCAUUGCAUAUGCUGGAAAAUCAUUCACAGUCCACAUAACUGCUGCUCGCAAAGUGAACAUCCUCCCAGUUGAUUUAUCGUACGUGCGAACACCGUUUGUCCAUAAAUCCUUCAGCUCAUCAACCAGAGGCCUUAAGUACACAUCAAUUGACCUGCCAGGAUCCUCAGUUAUCAAAACAGUCAUCAUCAUGUAUUCUUUUUUCAUGCAUUUCCAAGGCGGCAAAUUAUAUGGGAAUGCGAAAAUCGGCCAAGUGCUGUGGUGUUGGUUUAGAACCCCAUACGGAUUGAAUCCGUCAGUGGCAAGUCCCAAUCUAACAUUUCGGGGAUCAGCAGCAAAUUCGGGGAACGUUCGAUCGAACUCUUUCCAUGCCUCCCCAUCUGCAGGAUGCCGCAUCACAUCAUCGUCUACCCGUUUUUCCUUAUGCCAUCUCAUGUCUGUGGCAGUAUGCGUUGACAUAUACAAUCGCUGCAACCUAGGUUUAAGGGGCAGAUAACGCAUGACUUUUUGUGGUAUCUUAGUCGUUCUAUUCUGGGAUGUCAGUUUGAACCUCGACUCAUUGCAUAUAGGGCAUGUAUCCAACGUUUCAUGCUCUUUGUAGAAUAACAUGCAAUUGUUUUUGCAAGCGUGGAUUUUUUCAUAACCCAAUCCAAGACCGUGCAACACCUUCUGUGCAUGUUUAUGGUCUUUCGGCAAACAAUUGUCCGUCGGAAGCAUUCUCUUGAAAACCCCCAAAAAGUAAUCAAAACACAAGUUCGACAUACGAUACUUUAUUUUUCCGUGCAUUAGCUCCACAAUGGCAGUGAGAACGGAAAACCUCUCGCACCCCGGGUAUAACUCUUGGUUGGCAUUUUUUAACAGUUUUUCAUACUGUUCAAACUCCGCACUGUCUAUUGGUGUAGGCACGUCAUCUUCCCCUUCCUGAUUGAUGUUGGUCGAUGCGAAUGGAAAAGCAUCCUGUAUAAUACCCAUGACUUGAUCAUUAGGAUCCACAAUAGGUUCAACAUUGUCCACUCUCGGGGCAUUUGAAGACGAAGCAUGGUCUACUUGUUCGCCGUGAAGGUUCCAAAUGCUAUAUGUUUCAAUCAUUCCAUUCCUUACUAAAUGAAAUCCAACAUUUUCAAUUGUCUCCCACAACGUGUUGUUACACCUCCUACAAGGACAACGGAUUCUAGUUGCACCCGGGUUGUGUCUACGUGCAAACUCAAUAAAAUCCUCGAUUCCAUCCAAGUAUUCGUCUGCGCAUCUAUUCGGGUUCUGUAUCCACCUUCUGCUCAUAAUUCCUGAAACCACAAUCACGACACAACAAUCACAACAACUUCAUACGAAGUUAUAAUGUCACCUUAUGCCUCCGGUAAGGGCCCUAUCCCAUUCGGGAAUGCAUAGUCCUGUCACGUAACCUACGGCUACAUGAGAUUAGAUUUCGACGUGGAUUAAUUUCAGCAGCAUCUCGACACAGUUCUUGAAGUGGGCAUAGGUAUAAAUACCUACGUACCACCCGAAGAACGUACCGAGAUGACACCGAAAUCUCCACAAUCGAAACCUAAUCCUGUAGCCGAAGAUUAUGUGACAACACUAUGCAUUACCAAACUGUCCAAAUAAUGGGACAAUUCAAGAAUUAAUUGGACCGCAGUCAUGCAUUACGCAUCCAUGCACGAAAUUCAACUAAUCUCGAACGGGAAACUACGUGUUACUAAACAUAAAAAUAAAAGUACGAAGUUAAUUUCAAUUAACUUCGUACAUCACAACACAUUGUGCUAUGUCACGCACAAUUUCACAACAUUAUACACAUAUAACUUCACAAAAAAAUUACAAACAUAACAAACAAACUUUUACAAUAACAUACCUUCUCAAUCGUUCUCCACCAAUCACAAAUAUCCCUAACGAUAACAAAAUUAAUAGCGUUACUACGAAUUUACAUUAAUACAUUUAAACUAACGACAAAAAAUACAUACCCAAUGAACGUACUGAAUUCACAGUAGAGCAACGGCAGAGAGAGUGAGAGAGAGGUAGAAUGCAGUGGGAGAGUGAGAGAGAGGCAGAAUGCAGAAACUGCAUUCUGCCUCUGCAAUGGAACUGGCUAAAAUGAAGAAGAAGGACUUUGCGCGACUAACAAUCCAAUCCGUCGCGCAAAAUGCCGUCGCGAAAACCCACUUUUCCGUCGCACAAAAAAACAUUUCCGUCGCGCAAUUACCUGCCGACAUCAGGUUUUUUGCGCGACGAAUACAAUUAUCCGUCGCACAAACAUCCGUCGCGCAAAUAACAUUAUUCGUCGCGCAAGGUUUAUAUUACGUCGCGCAAAUAACACUUAUUUCGUCGCGCAAGAAAUUACACUUUACGCGACGAAGGUAAUUCCGUCGCGCAAAAAAGUUUUUUCCACCCUGCAUUUUGCCGCCAAAAUUAAGUAACCCUCGUUUUCUUACGCGACGGUACAUAUUUCCGUCGCGCUAAGGCGUCUUUUGCGACGAAAAUGUUCGUCGCGCAAGAUUCUGGCGCCAAAAACAUAAACUGGGGAUUUUUCCCCGACCUUUGCUCGACGAAAUUAGUUUUGGUCGCGCAUAGAUUGUUUGCGCAACGAAGAUUGUUCGUCGCGCUAGUGUUCUGCUGUUUGCGCUACGGUAUUUUUUUUUCGUCGCAAUAGUGAUUUUUGCGCGACGAAAAUAUAUUCGUCGCGCAAACGUCCGUCGCGCAAAUAGUAAAUCGUAGUAGUGUGAUUUGGUUUAGACUUGGUUUAAUUAUCAUUGUUGUGGUUGGUUCACCAAAAAGAUUUGGCUUAGAAUUACCAGUUUUGUUGUUGGUUUAGUUAUGCUUGGCAUUUGAGGAUCCUAUGCUUACUUGUAUGGGUAAUACAUUUUAUUGAUCGUUUCAUAUACUAAUUAUGAACUUUUAGUUCCAUUGUGCAUUUAAGAGUACACAUAUUUCAUAUGUAAUUCGAAAGUUUGUCGCUGAAAUUUCUGAGAAUUUGAAACUAGAUAAGCACACCUUGCACAAAGUUCAUAUAUUUUCUUCCAGCAAGUCUGUCUAUUAACCCCCCUUAUCUGAAAUUAAUUGUUAAAAGUUCUGAUUCAUCUUUAAUCAUUGUCUUACCCUUGUUGAAUAACACUCCUCAUUCUAAUUUAUAUUCGAAGUUUGAGGUUUCAAUUUCAAUUGUGGGCUUUGAUUUUACAGAUUUUGUUUGUCAAUUUCAAUUUGGACAAAGCAUAUGCAAACAAAGUAAGGCAUUAUCUAUUAUUUGGAUCAUUUCCAUAUGUUUAUAUGUUUUUAAUAUCAUUUGCCUAUGUAGUUGACAUGUUAUAACAUUUUCGUAGUGUUGAAUAUAUAUAUAUAAUAAUUUUAUUUUAGUGGAUGUGAGAUCUCAGUUUGUUGCUUUAUAUAAUUAUUUCUUUGCAAUUUAAUUUUUUUUAUCAGUCAUACUAUUGUUGACGGCUAAAAACCAUCAAGAAACAACUCUUAAGUUUUUUAAAAAAUAAAUAAAUAAAUAAAGAUUUGUUGAUGCUUAAAAAGCAUCAAGAAAAGAUAGUUUCUUGACGGUUUUGUGACGUUUCAUAACCGUCAUGAAACAUUACAUUUUGACGAACGUCUUUCUGAUAGUGGCAUCCGUGACGCUUUCCGAGCCAUCAAUUAAGGGCUAUCGUGAUGCUUUUUAGUUGUCAGCAAAAGGUGUUUUUCUUGUACUGUAUUCACUCAAAAUCGUUUUUCAUUUAGGGUUGCUAGUGUGGUUGAAUGCCAUUUGUUUUGUUAAUGAAUAUUAUACAUUAUGGAUUUUUGUAGAAAUGUCGCUUGAAAUUAUACCUCAGUUUCAAUUUGUCACCUUAAAGAAAAAUUUAAGAGAAAUGUCACCUUAAUUUUUCAAAAUCCACGAUUUGUCAUCUCACUUUAACAUCAUCCAAUUUUCCAUCUAUUUUAAGGGUAUUUUAGUCUUUUCAUUUUCAAGGGAAAAAAAGAGAGGAAGAAAAAGACCUCUCUCUUACUUUCUCCCCCAACCCAACCCCACCCGCCCCCCAAAACACAUCGCAUAGGACCGCCUCCCCCUUCCCCACAUUUCUUUUUUCUUUUUGGCCUACUUUUCCACUAUGUUUAUGUUGAAGGAUCUAAAGUUUUCUUGGUCACCAUCUAUUACGUAGGCUACCGACUUGUUGGUUUGGGUGGGUUGAGGGAAUUUGUGUGUGGAGGGCAGGUGUUCAUGUUGUGUGCACCAAGACCUUAUCGUUGAUGAACUAUGUGACGGCACACACACAAACUCGUUGAGAAUAAAACAAACAUACCACCAAGAGAGUAAAACAAACACACAAGGACACAAAGAUUUAUAGAGGUUCGGCCUCCUGCCUACGUCUUUUUGGUGAUUCACUCGAGAAAUUCACUAGUAUGUAAAAAUAACUUUGGUUACAACUGAACCCCCUUAGCCCUCACAAGAACCUUAGAUCUCUUUUCUCUCACCCUUGCUCAAACCCUUUGAUGCCCUUGUAGACACUCAAGAAUUCACCCUUGAAUUCUAUCUUGUGUUACAUCUUCUCUUCUCCCUUUUGUUAACCUAACCCUAAAAGUCCUAUUUAUAAUGCAUAGGACUUAAGUUACAAGUUAACUUGGAAUAGGAAACAUAAAAUACCCCAAAAAUUGGAGAAAAUCUGUCCAAAUCUAGCCUGCAAAAUCAUCCUUCUGCCGCUCGAGCUGCCGGUGGCGCUCAUGGGAUGGGGGAAUUGGAGAUUUUCUUUUCAAUUUUAAUUGUUUAAAAGAUAUACAAUUUUUUAUUAUAAUAAUUUUUCCAUUUUUAAAAUACACUUGAAAAUAGAAAGCUUAAAAUGCCCUUAAAAAUAGAUGGAAAAUUGGAUGGUGUUAAAGUCAGAUGACAAAUCAUGGAUUUUGAAAAAUUAAGGUGACAUUUCUCUGAAAUUUUUCUUUUAAAAGUGACAAAUUGAAACUGAGGUAUAAGUUCAGGCGACAUUUCUACAAAAAUCCCUAUACAUUACAAUAUUAUAACAAUAAAAUUGGCUAAAAUUGAUAUGUUCCCUCUUUUCUUUUCUUUUUCUCUUUUCCUUUUCAUUUUAUGCUUUGUUGCUAUUGCUAUGUUUAUCCUACAAAUAUAGCAACUUCUCCACCAUUCAUUUGUUAGUGACUACGAUGCUUAGUAACUUCUUCAGCUCCCCUUAUUUCCAUGUACUAACCAGGGACACCAGGUCAGCAUCUUCGGUAAGAAUCCUAACUCAAUCAAACAAUGACAUCUGUAAAUAUUCAAAAUUGGAAUUUGCAUUGUGAUAGUUGAAAGCAUCCUUGUCCCAAAAAAAGCCAAAAAAUAAAAUAAAAUUGAGAGCAUUAAGUCCUUUUCAAAUUAUGCUAAUAUGCAAAAUUGGAAUUUUGAUGGAGUUGCUUCCUUGACUUUUCCACCUUUGUAUCCAGUCCACUUUGCACAAGGAGCCAAGUUUGAGAGAUAGUUUUCUGUAUUUACACCAUCCAGGAGAAAAUUAAAAAACUAUUUCAUGCCAAACUAACUACGGAUUCUUGCAAAGGACCCAUUAGUGUAGUGGUUUGGAGUAUUUACUCCCUCAGGCAAGGUCUUGGGUUCGAGUCCUAGCAUUCAUGUUGUGUGUGUGAGUUUAAUAUGCUAUCACCCCUUCCAAUAGGAAAGGACCUCAAAAAAAAAAAAAAAACUACAGAUUCUUUAAUUGAAAGAAACCCCAUAUUAAUCAUCCUUUGGCACAUAAAUGUUUGGUAAUUGGCAUUAAAGUAUCUAAAGGUUACGAAAUUAAAGAUUUUAAUGCAAACCUAAAAUUGGAAAAGAGGGCACCAAUUCAUGUAAAAUAUGGUGUACUUAGUAGAUCCAACAUAUUUUUUUAGCAACCAAGGACAAUCAUCAUUUUUUUUUUUAAGAACCAAGGAUAGCUUACAUUCUAGUUUGUCCAUCAUGUCAACACAUUUAUAAUUAAAACUUCUUUUUUGGUGAGGUUUCAAUUUUUGUCACUGUAACAAGACCACAAUUGCCAUUCAGUAUGCUAACAUUGUCACUAUGUUUGCCAAUUGCAUAUUAUCUAGAACAUAAAGGCUUUGGUGUUUUGUAUAUCCUCGGGGUGCCAAACCUGUCUUUAUAAAAAUGGUCCUUAUGAUACUACUUUAACAACAAAAAAAUAUAAUAAACUAGGCCUUUGUAGUCACUGAACGAAUGUUUUCUCAUAGAUAUGACUAUUUAAAUGUAAUUACGGGAUUAAAACAUUAUAAUAAAUUGGAGUGAACCAUAACAUUAUAUAUGAUCCAAUCCUUUUCAUAUAUUUUUGUUCAAGACUUUGUUUUAGAAUGCUCUUUUACUAAUUUGGUACAGGUCCCUAAAAUCUACGCCUUUAUGAGGCAACGUCUUUAUUUCUUUGGUUAUUCCAGUUUAGAAUAUAUUUGUACAAAUGAGAUGACUCCCAACAUAAAGUCACAUUCAACCAAAAAGCAUGAAGUCACACACAAAAAGAACACGGACAAUUGCUAAGUUUAUCUUGUAUCCUUAUUUUAUUGAUCCAACCCAAUUGAAAAAUAAAAAAGAUGAUAUAAUAUAUUGUUCACUGCUUACAUCCAUGAGUAAAGUCCUCCAUUUGAAAUUGCGUGAUUAUACAAAAUUGGAAUGAAAAAAGAAAAUCCUACAACUAAAUUUGAUAUAUUCCUUUUCAUUUUAUGUUGGAUGUUAAGUUUUCUUGUUUCUUGUUGAAAAGAAAAAUGAAAAGAAAUAAAUAAAUUACACAGCUAGCAACUUCUCCACCUUCCCUUCUUCCCAUGUACUGACAACAAGGGAGGCCUUCAAUCCAAAAUAAAGACAAGGGAUGCCAGGUCAGCAUCUCAGAUAAGUAUCCCAACCAAAACCAAUCAAAUAAUGACAUAUGUAUCUCUUUUUGUGUUUUGUUCUAUUUCUCUUUGAAUUAACUGCGAAGUUUCAUAAGCGUGUCCUCCUUUUGAAAUUGUGUAUUAUUCAAAAUUGGAAUUUGCUGGUCAUACUUGAUAUAAGCUAAAACAGUUUCCAACAUCUUGUACCAUUUUUUUCCAGUGUGGGUCAUAACUUGAAGAAGCCCACCGACAAUUUCUCAAAAGCUAUUACCAUCCAACUUUGAAAAAUAAAAGUUUCAAAAGUUACCCCAAACAACAGCCCUUGAAAGAGAGUUUUCCAAGGCUAAAGAUUACAAGGAUGUUAUUGGCACAUGCAUUAACGUGUGACAAGAAGUUAGUUAUAUUUAUAAAGUAAAAGAACGAAGUACAUAACAUGUAAGUUGAUGCCAAAUAUUUGAUCAACAGAGCUAAACAUAAAACCACGACAAUAUAACGUUGUUCACCAAAAAUUGUGUUUCGUUGAGGGUCAGUAGUGUAGGUUUCAAGAUACGAUUUAUUUUGUUAAAGAAUAUUCUGAUAUUCUAACAAUAAAAUUGGCUCAAUUUGAUAUGUUUCUUUUUUUUUUUGUUUUUGUUUUCCCUUUCAUUUUAUGCUUUGUUGUGCUAUUGCUAAGUUUAUCCUAGAGACCAGGGAUGCUUAGCAAGUUUCUUCACCUGCCCUUCUUCCCAUGUACUAACUAGGGAUACCAUGUCAGAAUCUUAGAUAAGAAUCCCAACCCAAUCAAACUAUGACAUCUGUAAGUAUUCAAAAUUGGAAUUUGCAUUGUGAUAGUUGAGUGGAAGAAUCGAUUAAGGCUUGAGUGGAAGACAAACUUCAGUGGAGGAAAGUAAUUAAUCUCACAAGACAUAGCCCAUCAGUUGGCUCAUUUUUCUUGAGUGUGUAGUCCUGGCCUUGAGGCGAGGCCACAUUGCUUUGGAGAUUUCUUUCUACUUGGUGAAAUUAUAAUUUAGAAGAAGCAAACUGCGUUUUGCAAUUUGUGCGAUUCAAGCAUAUCUGACACUAGUAAUUAGACCAUAAUCUUUGUCCGACCAGAAAAUAAGAAAAGUUGUCUUGUACCAUUUCUGCCAGUGUGGGUCCCACCCACCCCAUACGAGUAAUUUGAAGAAGUCCACCGACAAUUUCCCAAAAGCUUUGGCGUCCAACUUUGCCGACCCCAUCCCCAUGUGAGGCCAUAGAAAAGUUUUCAGCCACAAUCAAAGAAGGGAACAGUCCUUGAAAAGAGAGGGUUUUCCAAGGCCAAGAUUACAAGUUCAUGUUAUUUACAGUCUCAAAAAGCUUCCAUACUUGUUUACAAACCUGUAUUUUCAAGUUGUGCUAGCCUAGCUAUUUGCAAAUCUUGGAAUAUUUUACUUCAUCCAAAUCCCUUGCAGUCUGCAGAGAAGAUAAAAGACAUGGCUUUGAUUGGAGAGGCUCUUAUCUCUGCUUCCGUCCAGGUGUUGUGCGACAGAAUUACUUCACCCGAGUUCGUUGACUUAUUUUGGCACAAGAAACUCGAUGAGCCACUCCUCAGGAAGCUGAGGACGACACUGUUGGCCUUGAACUUGGUGCUCAAUGAUGCAGAGGGGAAGCAACUUGUGAACCGAGAUGUGAAAAAGUGGCUUGACGAGCUCAGACAUGCUGUCUUUGAUGCGGAGGACUUACUGGAUGAGAUUGACACUGAAGCUUUGCGAUGCAAGCUGGAAGAAGGUGAAGAUCAAACUCACAAAUUUACCAAUAAGGUGCGGAACUUGCUCUUUUCUCCUCGUAGUCAUUUUUAUCAGAGCAUGAAUGAUAAGAUAAAAGAGUUACUAGCAAGGUUAGAAAACUUUGUACAACUGAAAAGUGCUCUUGGUCUGGGAGAAGUUGCUGGGAGGAAGGUUUCGCAAAGAACUCAAACAACCUCCUUGGUUCUUGAACCUUAUGUAUAUGGUAGAGAUGAAGUCAAAGAAAAGUUAUCAAAAGUGUUGCUAUCUGAUGAAGCAGGCAAGGAUCCUGUGUCUUUCCUCACCAUUGUUGGAAUGGGUGGGGUUGGCAAGACAACCCUUGCUCGAAUGCUUUACAAUGACGAUAAGGUGAAAGGGCAUUUUAAACUUAAAGCUUGGGCUUGUGUUUCAGACUACGAUGAUUAUAUUAAAAUUACUAAAACUCUCCUUGAGGCAGUCACUUCAAAGCCUUGUAACACGGCAAAUCUGAAUUUGCUUCAAAAAGAUCUAAGAGAGCAAUUGAGGGGAAGGAAAUUUUUAUUUGUGUUGACCUAUGGAAUGAGAAUAAUGAGGAUUUGAACUACCUUAGAGCUCUUUUUAUUACUUUAGGAACAAUGGGAAGUAAAGUCAUUGUAACAACACGGAACAAAAAUGCAGCAUCUGUCAUGCAAAAUGUUCAUAUUCAAUACUUAGAACCAUUGUCGUAGGAGGACUGCUGGUUAUUACUUGCAAAACAUGCAUUUGGAAAUGAAAAGUGUAGUGCACAUUCAAACUUGGAAGACAUUGGAAAGCAAAUUGCACUCAAGUGCAAAGGGUUGCCUUUAGCUGCACAAACACUUGGGAGUUUGUUACGUUGCAAUAUGGAUUUCGAGUACUGGAAUAGAAUACUAAAUGAUAGUUUUUGGGACCAACCCUAUGAUAAAACUAACAUUCUUCCGGCUCUAGGGUUGAGUUACCAUUAUCUUCCUACUCAGUUGAAACGAUGCUUUGCUUAUUGUUCAAUUUUUCCAAAGGAUUAUGAGUUUGAAAAGGAAGAUAUAGUUCAAUUAUGGAUUGCAGAAGGUAUAAUUCCACAAGCUGAGAAUGGAAAAAGGAUGGAAGCAUUGGCUAGAAUAUACUUUGAUGAGCUGUUAUCACGAUCGUUGUUUCAAAAGUCAAGUAAAUUCAGCUUCAUUAUGCAUGAUCUCAUUAAUGACUUGGCUAUGUUCAUGUCUCAGGGGUUUUGCCUUAGGCUCGAAGAUGGGGUAUCCCGUGAAGUUAAAAGAGCUCGUCAUUUGUCAUAUGCUAGGGGAGAAUUUGAUGCUGCUCCAAGAUUUGAACCAUUAUAUGAGGCUAAAUGUUUGCGGACCUUCCUACCUACCAUUUGUUGUGGGCAAAUCUACUGGAUCAGGCAUAAGAGAACUGAGGCAGUUCCCGCAACUUCGAGGAAAACUAUCAAUUUUGAAGCUACAAAAUGUAGUUGAUGCGAGGGAUGCACUGCACGCCAAUAUGAAGCACAAGAAAGAUCUCAAGGAGUUAGAGCUUUCAUGGGGUGCGGAGGAUGCUGAUGAUUCCCAAAAGGAGAAAGAUGUACUCGACAAGCUCCAGCCUUGCGUGAAUUUGGAGAAAUUAACCAUCAAAUUCUAUGGUGGAACUAAUUUUCCGAAUUGGUUAGGAGACUCGUCUUUUUCUAACAUACAAGUCAUGCAUCUCAGUGACUGUAGUUAUUGUUGGUCGCUCCCACCAGUUGGACCGCUACCGGCACUCAAACAGCUCUGUAUAAGAAGAAUGAAGUUUGUGAAGACGAUUGGCGUUGAAUUCUAUGGCAGAAAUGGAGCUUAUCUGACUCAGCCAUUUCGAUCUCUGGAGAAGCUAGAGUUUAGGGAGAUGCCAGAGUGGGAGGAAUGGGUACCAAGUGGAAGUGCAAGUGGAGGUGAAUAUGGUCCAGACUUUCCUCGUCUCCAGGAGCUGAUUCUAUACGAGUGUCCGAAGCUAAGAGGAAGUUUGCCUUGUGAGUUGCCUUGCUUGAAGAAGCUUACGGUGUAUGGGUGUAAGGUUUUACAUGAUGGAAGGGCCAUUACCGCAACUACCAAUAGUCUUAACUAUAAAUCUCUGGAAGAAUUGAAUAUAAGUGGUGGAUGCCAAACUCUGUUAUCAUUAUUAGAGACAAAGCUCCUGUCCGGACUUGAGAUUCGAAAUGUUGUUGACAUACAGUGCUUGCCCAACUGCAGUCGUCUUCAACAUUUGACUCUUUCGAAUUGUCCAACGCUGUCAUCAUUUCCCAAAGAUGGCCUACCCACUACAUUGACAUCACUUUAUAUAAACAAUUGUAGGAAAUUAGAAUUCCUACCUCAUGAGAUGUUGGCCAAAUUAACAUCGCUUGACUAUUUGUGCAUACAAAAUAGCUGUGAUUCAAUGAGGUCCUUCCCGUUGGGCAUUUUUCCCAAAUUGACGAGGCUUGAAAUUCGUGGUUGUGAGAAUCUGGAAUCCCUUUCCUUGAUUGAAGAAGAAGGAGCUGUUGAGAAUCUCAGCCAUCUCAAUUACUUGCAAGUCUAUAACUGUCCAAAAAUGGUGUGUUUUCACGAGGGAGAAUUGCCCACUCCCAACCUGAGUCACUUUGUAGUCGGUGGUUGCGAGAAUUUGAAGUCAUUGCCCAAAAGCCUUCACACCCUCACUGCCCUUCGAUCUUUGUCGAUAUGUAAUCUUCCGAAUCUGGAGUCAUUUGCAGAAGAUGGGGGUUUGCCUCCCAACCUCCGACAAGUAAGUAUUAGGAAUUGUGAGAGACUGAGGGCUUCAUCAGUGGGUUUGCAAGCACUUGACUCCCUUGAGAUCAGUGGAAGUGACCAUGUAUUCUCUAUCACACUCUUCACAUCUAUUCUCUAUCAACUCUGAAAUCUUUGGACGGAAAGGGUCUUGGACACCUCACUUCUCUUCAAGAGCUAGAUAUUAACAGGUGUCCAAGUCUGGAAUUCCUGCCAGGAGAGGAACUUCAACACCUCACUUCUCUUCAAAAUCUAUACAUUUGGAACUGUCCCAGUCUUCAAUGCUUGCCAGAAGAGGGUUUUCCAUCAUCUCUUUCUCAUCUGAGUAUCCGCCGGUGUCCUACCCUGGAGGAAAGGUAUAAGAAUAAAACGGGACGAGAUUGGG
rnacentral:lncRNA from 1 species